rnacentral:lncRNA from 1 species
GCCACACUGAGUACAAGGAGAACUAUAUACCAAUUCAAUUGACUAUUUAUAGCUACAAACAAUUACCCUUUCCUAAAUUUAGUCACUUAUUACUUACAUGUUUUAGUAUCAUUUAUAUCAUUUAAAAAAAUUAUACUAAUUAACAUGGGACACACGUGUGUUACGUGUCCUGAAACUAGUAGUCCUAAAAUAAUAUGUUGCUCUUUGUUUCACAAUAUUGAUCUGACUGUGAAUUUAAUUAAAGCCGAUUCAGAUUGUAGUGGAAGAGCAAUCUCUUCGUGUAGUGUUGGAUGAAUGAGUAAGUGUUUGACUUUCGCUCAAGCUCCGCAUCUCAUCAUACUUGUCUCUUAACCCUUGAAACUUGAGCUCAUCAUCAUCAUCAUCAUGGGAUCUUGAUUCCAAGUUAAACUCAGGAAGGUCAAGAUGAUCUUCAAGAAUGCUGACUACUGCAGACAUGGUUGGCCUAAGUGCUGGAGAUGUAUUGGUACAUAGAAGGGCUACGUUUAUCAUCCUUAGAGCCUCAUCCUUUUUGAAAUCUGAAUUCAAUGUUUCAUCUACUAGUUCCAUCAGUUUUCCUUCCCUUUUUAAAACAGGGCCUGAAUAAAAUGCAAAGAUACUAGUUCAAAAGUUUGGAACAUAGGAAUUGAUAUCAGGGAUAAUGAUUUGUUACCCAAUCUAGAAGGCAAACAAACUUCUCAUUGGGGCGAUAUUUCAUGUUGUUCUUCCCAGCAACAAUCUCUAACGCAACAACUCCAAAGCUGUAGACAUCUGCUUUGUAGGUUAAGUAGCCCCAUAGUGCAUAUUCAGGUGCCAUAUAUCCUCUGCACAACAGAGUAAAACUUUAGAUUCAUGCCUGUGUUAUUUCUAAACGUGGCAUCAAUUUCAUGCUUGAUAUUUCAGUAUAUGAAGAAUGGCUGAUUGGGAUGAGAUACAAGUUAAGUUCAUUGGAAGAAACUUUAAGAUAUAAAGAGGAUACAUAGGCCAGAAACCAUUUCUAUCACUCAAAUUGAAGUAAUGCGAUUAAAUGUAUAUAUGCUGCAUGAAUGAAAACAACAUACGGACGUACAUCAAUCAGUUUACGCUGCAAAGUUCUGGUGCCGUUGCAGAAAGUUUAUGAAAUGUAGAAUUAACCCUACUGUGCCGUAAGUAACAGAUAUAUUUCUUACUCAACGAACACAAAACAUAAACACGAAUAAAAGAACUUGUCAGAAAACUCACAUGGUUCCAGCAAUUCUAGUGCUGAUAUGUGUUUUAUCCUCAUCGUCAAGUUUGGCCAGACCAAAGUCAGAGAUCUUUGGGUUUAGUUUCUUGUCAAGAAGUACAUUUGUUGCUUUGAUGUCCCUAUGAACAAUUUUUAAUGACGAUUCCUCGUGUAGAAAAGCUAAGCCUUUUGCUAUCCCAAUGCAGAUUUUUUGCCUUGUUGGCCAGUCUAUUUGGAGACGAUGUUCUUCUGGACCUGCAUUUUAAUGAGAACUAAGAAUCUAUUCAUACCUUCUCUCAUUUUGAACUCUUUCAUGAAUUACGAACGAGCAAUAUUUCUUCUUAUUUCAUUAAGCUUAUUUUCUGUUUGACUUGUAAGUUGUAACUGAAAACAAUGAGCAAGGAUAGUAAAUUACCAAAUAAAGCACGGGCGAGGCUAUUGUUCUCCAAGUACUCAUACACCAAUAGAAGUUGAUUUCCUUCAGCACAACAUCCAUAUAGUUUGACAAGAUUUGGGUGCUGUAAACUAGAGAUCAUACCUAUCUCAUUCACAAACUCGCGGUUCCCUUGUUUUGAUUUGGAUGAAAGCUGCUUAACAGCAAUGACUGUACCAUCCAGUAGUGUACCCUGCUUAUUAAUUAAAAACAAAGAAGAAAUAAACAGGUCAUGGCUGUCUAUACAUGCAUAAAAAGCUAAUCCUUUUGCUAUCCCAAUGCAGAUUUUUUGCCUUGUUGGCCAGUCUAUUCGGAGACGAUGUUCUUCUGGACCUACAUUUUAAUGAGAAAUAAGAAUCUAUGCAUACCUUCUCUCAUUUUGAACUCUUUCAUGAAUUACGAACAAGCAAUAUUUCUUCUUAUUCCAUUAAGCUUAUUUUCUGUUUGACUUGUAAGUUGUAACUGAAAACAAUGAGCAAGGAUAGUAAAUUACCAAAUAAAGCACGGGCGAGGCUAUUGUUCUCCAAGUACUCAUACACCAAUAGAAGUUGAUUUCCUUCAGCACAACAUCCAUAUAGUUUGACAAGAUUUGGGUGGUGUAAACUAGAGAUCAUACCUAUCUCAUUUACAAACUCGCGGUUCCCUUGUUUUGAUUUGGAUGAAAGCUGCUUAACAGCAAUGACUGUACCAUCCAGUAGUGUACCCUGCUUAUUAAUUAAAAACAAAGAAGAAAUAAACAGGUCAUGGCUGUCUAUACAUGCAUAACAUCCACUUCUAGAUGUUGUAGCUAAACGAAAAAGGGUCAAGGUAAAUGGUUGUAGUGUGCCCUGCAGUGGAACAAUAAAAGGAACACCAGGAAUUAACAAGGUUCGACAAACUUUUGUUUUCUUUUGCCUACUCCUCGGACACAACCAACCAAUAUUUAUUUCACUCCAAAAGAGUACAAGUGAAAUACUACAAGAGAGAAAGAAGAUCAAAUGCCUUUGAAGAUGAGAAGGCAAGUGAGAUUAGGAACUACCUAUUUAUAGGAGUGAAUUCUUCCUAUUGAUGUCAUCCAUGACAUCACAAUGUGUCAAAAUGUCAAGAUUUACCUUGUGAAACCAUUUUAUGGUUCACCUAAAUUUCACCUACAAAAGAUGUUAUCUUGACUUUUGAACCAAUGAAGAAUUAUCUUCCUAACUACCAAAUCUUCACAUUAAUUCAUCUUUGAAUCUUGUCAAAUUUAACAUUUGUUGCUUUGAUGUCCCUAUGAACAAUUUUUAAUGACGAUUCCUCGUGUAGAAAAGCUAAGCCUUUUGCUAUCCCAAUGCAGAUUUUUUGCCUUGUUGGCCAGUCUAUUUGGAGACGAUGUUCUUCUGGACCUGCAUUUUAAUGAGAACUAAGAAUCUAUGCAUACCUUCUCUCAUUUUGAACUCUUUCAUGAAUUACGAACAAGCAAUAUUUCUUCUUAUUCCAUUAAGCUUAUUUUCUGUUUGACUUGUAAGUUGUAACUGAAAACAAUGAGCAAGGAUAGUAAAUUACCAAAUAAAGCACGGGCGAGGCUAUUGUUCUCCAAGUACUCAUACACCAAUAGAAGUUGAUUUCCUUCAGCACAACAUCCAUAUAGUUUGACAAGAUUUGGGUGGUGUAAACUAGAGAUCAUACCUAUCUCAUUUACAAACUCGCGGUUCCCUUGUUUUGAUUUGGAUGAAAGCUGCUUAACAGCAAUGACUGUACCAUCCAGUAGUGUACCCUGCUUAUUAAUUAAAAACAAAGAAGAAAUAAACAGGUCACGGCUGUCUAUACAUGCAAAACCUCCACUUCUAGAUGUUGUAGCUAAACGAAAAAGGGUCAAGGUAAAUGGUUGUAGUGUGCCCUGCAGUGGAUGGAGGACCUAUAAUAACAUCAAUUGAACCCAUCGUUUUUAUUUGUACUGUAGUAAUAUGUGAAAAAACAUUAAAAUUAUACUCCAUCCGUUUCAAUUUGUUUGUCUUACUUUCCUUUUUGGUCAGUUUCAAAAGAAUAUCUUCCCUUUUUGGCAACUCUUUAAAAUCUUGGAUUUUCCUCUGCUUGCAUGUGUAUGUAAAUGACUGCAUGGGAUGAGGCAUUGGUAUGUGGAGAGAGAAAUAUUAGAAAGCUUGUAGUGAUCAGAUUGAGAUGCACCUUGUAGACGGAGCCAAAACCACCUUCCCCAAUUUUAUUUGCAGCAUCAAAGUUGUUUGUCGCGGCUUUGAUUUGUCUGAUGGUAAAUACACCAGUCAGUAGAUCCAGUCCUCUUAAUUCUGUAUAUAUACAGGAAAAAACAAACAUUUCAAAUGUGUAACACUUCCAUAUAAUCAUGUACUUGUAUGAAAUGCACAUCUCCAUAAUGUUCUUGUUUUCAAAAUCCAUCAUUUUAUUUUGAUAAGAACUUUUCAGGAGAACAGACUAUGGUAAGACACAAAAUAGGCUGGUCAUCUGUAGCAUCACCUUCUUCCUUUGAUAUCCUGCUUCUGCUUCUCCUCUAAGCAACAAAGAAUAUUGUAAAGAGGAGAACUAAUGAGGGAGCCACUGCUCCAGCAAUGAUGUAAGCCAUAUUUUUGUGUUUUGAAGAGGGCUUGGAAUCUAUGAUAUAGAAAAAAAGGAAGAGGAAGAGUGUAAAAUGCACUUACAUUUGUUUUUAUACUUAUAAUCUUAAAGUGAUUGAGGAAAGAGAUGAAGCCUCUUCUGUAGGCUCUCUGAGAAUAAUUAACAUGUGGAAACAGUAUCAUAAUAUCAUCAUGUAAAAGGUCACCAAGGUAAUAGAAUAAGUGUAGAGAAUCUGUGAAAGAGAAAUAAGUGAAACAAAGGGUAAUAGUAGUGUUACUAGCUUCAAAAGAGAUGGCAGAAACUAAAGGGCCAUAGCUUCCUCUUCUAGGGACAGCUGUUGUUCCUUUCCCAGCAUUUUGAAAGCGCACUUCUAGAAUGCCAUCUUCUACAGAUGCAUUGAAUUUUCUUGUCAAAGCUUUAUCAACUCCUCGAGCAGUAGUUCUAAUGUCAAAAUCUUUGAGCUUCCUUUCACCCUGCAUCCAGUUAUAUUGUUAGCUAACUGCCCCUAAACCUUGACUCAAUACUCAGAUUUAUAUUUAAUUGACCUGAAUAUAGACAUCAAACAUCCGUUUUCCGAGACUCUGGAAAGAUCGGUUAUCUCUUAUAACAAUCUCUGCAAAGUGCAGUGUCACAGUGUAGUUUCCAUUUAUUAAACAACGUCCAUAGUAAGUUAGAGAUAAAGCUGAGAGCCGAGCUGUCGUGUAUAGUUCAGAAUUGUGUCCCUUAAUGGAAGAUACGUUAGUUGCCUUGUACUCGUUCGAUGUUAUGGGAACAUACCAGAAGUCCCCGGUGUUGCUGGAUCCCCAGCUCUCUUUCCAGUAGACAAACUUUGCAGCACCUGCGGAAUUUUCAUCUGCUUCGUAAAUCGUGUCCCCUAUUGUCACACUCUCUCCACCACAAUUUAUGUGCACUGAAUACCAAUCUGUAUAUAAUUAAAACAAUUAUCCAACAUUGCCUUUAUGUAACAUGACGCAGUAAGAAACAAAAUUGUCAAGCCCUCUUUCUCCUUUAUCAACAAGAAUUGGAUGUACUGUAUAUUUAAAAGAAGCAGUAGAGUAUAUGAGAACAAAAUCUUAGAUAGAGAGAAAAUGAAUCAUUGUCUUGUAGAAAGAUAAACUUACUCUUUGAACAAGUAUUACUUAACAAGCAUUUCCCAAGUUCUCUGUAUUAAGUUGGAAAGAGGGUCAGAAGGCAUGAACCAGUUGAUAAUUCUCUAAAGAGAAAAACUAAUGCAUCAAGUGUCUUAUAAGACAAGUUAAAUAACUUACGACUUUUUUGUUGAGUUAUAGCUUUUGAACAAGUUUCUGAUAAGAAGAAGGAAAUGUAGCUUAGAGAUAACGACAGAUGGUGUCCCAAUAUCAAAAAUGAGUGGGAAGAAGACCAAGGUUCAAGGAUCAUACAGGGUUUCCCGACAAGUAGUUGGCACGGAGCUUUCGUUGAAGUUGUUGUAAGAUAGAUCUAUGAAACUUCAAAUGGUGCAUAGCAAAAUCAACAAGUGUGUUGCACAAAAAGAAAUUCGUUUAGGGAUACAAUAUGUAUGAAAAAUUGGCAUUUAUGGGCUAUAUGCCCUUAGAAUCUUAAGUUCUUGAGAUGAAGAGAAUCUAGCAUUCUCAUGGCAUGAGUAGGUUAUAAGCAAAACCAUGCUAAUCCAAAGUAAUAAACUUACUAUUCGGAAUUUCUAUUUUCGAUCCAAUCCUGAAUUGGUCCAGUAAGUCUAUUGCUUGUCAGGUACCUUGCGAAGCAAAAUCUUUAUUUCAACAGAUAUCAAUUGGAACAAAAAACUUCAAAAUAAAUGAAUCAAGCUCUAAAUAACCUAUAUAAUGUCAGAAACUAAAAUUUCUAUGCAUUAAAUGUGUUUGAAGACUAGGCUGAUUGGCAUCCAAGUCUCAUGUAUUAAUUUUAUCAUAUGUAUUUCAAUGAAGGAGAAGAAGUUGGCUUUGUUGAGAAUUUACGGCCGGCACAUAGUCAGGCAAGCUAAAAGAAGAAUUUAAGAGUAUGAUAAAUUUGUCACUUACAAGGUCUUCAGUUUGUCCAGGCGCUCCAGAUCCGGGAUCGAUCCUUCAAGCCUGUUGAAGCUUAGAUCUCUGCCCAAAAAGAAAACCAUAUUCAAACCAGAAAAAAUACUAUACCAACUUGAGACCUGGAGAAUAUUUUAAAGAUUAUGUAAUGAAAGAAUUUCGGCUAGGCUGAAAUUCCCCUCCUCUUGUUUCCUAGUCUAAACAUUGAGCAGAAUUCGUGACAAUAAUCAAGAAGGCCGCAUACAUAAUUCAGUUAAAACAGCAGUGUAUGGAAGGGAGAAAGUAAAGGAUAUCAUAAAAGAAAGAAACAAAUCAGAGUGAAGGCAAACUUACAGAAUUUUCAAUUGAGACAUAUUAGCUAUGUAAGAAGGAAUCUGAAGAACAGUAAGAAUAAUGUUGCUAACUGAAUUCUUCUGUAUAUUAUUUUCACGAUGUACAGCUUUCAUAUAUAUACACAUAACUGCUUACUAAGACUUCUACCUAUUCUAGGAAACAAAUAUAUAUACAAGGUAAAAGAGAUAUUCCCUUAUUAUGAAUCCCUACAAUUAUUAUGGAUCUCUAUAAUCAUGAUUUAUUAUAAUCAUGUUGAUACUCCUACAAUCAUGUUAACAGAAUCUUCCCUGAUAAAUUGCAGCUCCUCAACAUCCUGCAGUCACAAAUUAGUUUCAGGAAAGAGAACACUUUCAACAACUACGGAACCAUUAAUGUAUAAAACCAAAUUCAAGAGAAUUACUUACAAUUUAGUUAGGCCUGUCAUGUUUUCUAGUGGCGGAAAUUUUGAGCACUUCCAGUCAAGUCACUGAUUCUUCUGUAAAGACAUCAUAUUAAUAUAAAACCCCACCAAAUAAAAGGGGACAUCAUAAUAAGCAACUAAAGAAAGUAUGUAACCUAGAAAACAACUCACAAUUCCUUCAUUACAGUCAAGACAGAAAUGCUUGGUGGUACAGGUCCUUCAAAACCCGAAGCUAGAAUCUCUCUGUUAACCAAGCAUGAAGUCUGAUUUAAUUUAAAUCUAAGUAGAAAAUACUAGCUCUUACACAUCAAAUGGUGUGAAAAUGCUCACAAUGCUGUAAGGUUUUUCAAAUUCUCAAAGCUAGGAAAUAUUCCAGUGAAGUUGUUACCGCUCAGGGAAAGAAGGAGACUUCAGAAAAACAGGAAUGCAAUAGGACCUAGAGGGCAUUAUAUUGAAAGUAUAUUCAGAGGUACUCACAGUUCUUUUAAUUUUGUGAGUUUAUUGAUUUCCUCAGGCAACUUACCUGUGAGAUUAUUAAAACUAAGAGUGCUGCACAAAGAAAAAGGCAACUAACUGGUCAAGAUAUUCUAAAACCAUUCAUUUUUCAUCUAAAGGAGGCUAGUUAGGAAGGCCUUACAGAUUCUGCAGAUUAACCAUAUUUCCGAGUUCUUUUGGAAUAGUUCCAUCAAAUAUGUUAUUUUCCAAACUCCUGAAAGUUUCGCAGUCCAUCUCAAUAAAUGUUAAAAAAAAAAGACUACUUAUCCUCAUGAGUGUGGUGAAAUCCAAGAGAACAUACAUAUAAAGUAGUGUAGUCAUGUUUCCCAUGUAACACCCCGAAAAUGCUAACAAGAGUCGCAUGUCGAUAAACCACUGCUUAAUUAUUACAAUAUGUUUAAUUCUCAUUUUGGGAACUUGAAAUAAUGUUAUAUUUGCAACCUUGCUUAAAAUAAUUGUCAUCGUAAUUUAAUGUAUUGUAUGGGGGUAUUUGCGUAAUGUUUUAAUUAGAAAUAUGUAUAUCUUUAAAAGGGGGUGAAGGAUAUAUAUAUAUAGGUGUAUAUGUAUGCAUUUGGGCAGCGAGAAAAUCUUGGUCCUUUUGGCUGGAAAUCGAGUUACACUCUUCUCUUUGGUAAGUGGUAAAACCUGUUUUUGAGCUGGGUAGCGUUUAGUAGAUUAAGCAUAUCUCGUUCUAUAGAAAUUUUUUUACUGUGAAUAAUUAUGAUUUGGAAAGAUAAUUCGUAUAUGUACAACUCUUAUGUUUAUGUUAAACUCUAAUUUAGUUGCUAUGGAUUGGAAAUAUAGGACACAUCAUAGGACAAGUUCUGUCCAGAUUCUGAAGUUUGAAAUCCUGUAUGGACAACUGUUAGUGUUUUGAAUAUAUCUUUUUAUCCAAAAUACAUUUUGAUUCUUGGUUGUUUGCAACCUUAAGAGAGGUACCUACAUAUUUCAUGAAGAGUAUACAGUCCAGUUUUGCCGUUUUCCAUUUCAAAUCUUAGUUGCGACAUGAUGCACUAGGAUGGCCAGAAUUUACUGUUUGGGACCAUAGUUGUAUUUGUACAUGGUAGGCUUACUUGUGAUGAUAACCCUAUUUUACGUCAUCAUUAUUGAGCUGCUAGAAAGUAAAUAAGUUAUUGAAUUCAUUUUUAAGGUUGUAUAUCCUCGUGUACAAGUUGAAGACUUUGAUACGCUGCUUGGUCUACGGUUUUACUCGUGGAGUUUUGUUGGACUGUUUUUGUACUAAAGAAUUGAGGUUUGUGUAUAAACUUAUACUUGUACUCUUUUUACCUGCUGGUAUAUCUGAAAGUUAUCUUGGUACCUUGGUUACCUCUUGUCACUUUGCAUUGUCGUAUUGGUAUUCUUUAAUACAUUAAAGACGCUUAUGUAACUCGCCCACUUGUACGGAUUGUUUGAUCACUUAGCACUCUUGUUGGGACCUUGUCCUUCUUGUGGCUGUGACUUUGUCACUCUUGGCAUGCCUCUUGGUUCGGAUCAUUUGCCAUCUUGACUCUGGAUUUUUAGUUCGUCUUAAAAAUGAAAGUUAUCCAUUUUAAGUACGAACUAAGAAGCCAUUUUUUAAUAUGGUUCUUGGUUCUCUUGAUUAUUGGGUUUUGACCCUUCUUUAUACCUACGCGUGCCUGGUGUGACGACAUGAUGUAUAUAUUGGGUGAGCCUUGUUAUUGAAUCUCUUGAAAAGUUGUGCUAUGAGUAUUCUUGACAUUUAGACCUUUAUAUAUUGAACUUGAUACUCCUUGUAUAUGCUUACUUGAUUUACUGAUUUUGUUUCGAUCGUGUUGCCCUUGACUUGAGAAUGAUAACUUGGUGAAUUUAAGGACUCCAAACCUAUAGUUUGUACACCACUAAGCUAUAUGCUUAGCGAUAGUUGUUUCUAUCGUAGGGGUUGCUCGCGAUGAUGCUUGAAGCUGGCCAUUGAUGAUGGAGAUUUUGAAAGCCUUAAAGAAGAUCACAUUUGCAUAUAGGCAUAUAUAUUUUGUAUAACCUUGGGACUUGUACAUGAUCUUUGUACUGUAUAUUUACAGGAGAUUUUGAGGACUGAUUUGGUCAUGUCACCAUGGGCUGUAAUAUAAGUAUGGUUAUAUGUUUUUUUAAUCUUUUUGGGGUGUGUAAACCCAAGUCUUGUAAUAUACUAAUUUGCUAUAUGUCUUGAAAAUUGUGUGAAGCAUGAGCCGGCUGAUUUCGGUACUCAGAAGCUUGUAAUAUUCUUGUUAUUUCACCCUCGAGUGUGAGGUUAACAUAUGCAUGAAGAUCUGGUCGGUUAAUUGCUUAAAUGUUAUAUUAUUUUUUUGGAGUUCGUUAUGAAUCUAAUCCCUCUCACUAGAUUAAAAUCAGUAUGCCCUCAUUAAUUGGUUUUAAAUGUCGCAAUUAUUUAAUUAAAUUUCUUGUUUAAGUAGUGAUAUCGUUUUGAAAGGAUCGCUACAUCCCAAGUAUUUAGGAAUCGGCCCAAAGAGUCGAUUCACCAUAACAAACCUGAAAACCAUGAAUUAUUGGAUAGUUUAAAUUAAAGGGACCUUUUGUAUGUAAUGUCUAAAGUAUAAAGUGCAAUUCAAGUGCAGCUCACAUAUAUUCCAGUUUGAUAGAUGCCCAUUCAGGGGGAAUAGUGUUGGGUUUUAUUUGUCCUGAAUUUCUUACCAUAAAUAAGUUUUCCUUUUAAGAAAAUAUUUGGAUUGGCUAGUCCUUUUCUUGUAGGAAAAGGUUUAGGACUGACUCUAUAAUUAUAGGUUUGUUCAUUCUAACUUAAUUAGCAUUCACAUUGUAGUCCUAGGGUUUUGAGAGUUUCGGUUAUGGGGGAGAAUUUUGUGUAUCUCUUUGUAUUCUGAAUGAAUUGGUUGAGGUUGUUUCUCUCUAUAUUUUGUACUCUCAUAUUUAUAGUGGAUUGCUCAUCUCCUUUGUGGACGUAGGUAGAUUGACCGAACCACGUUAAAUCUAUCUCUUUUGGUGUGUUUCUCGUUUGUCUUCUUACUCGUGGUCUUUCGAGGUUUGUUUUGCUAGCUUCCGCAUUACACCUGCUUAUUUUGGUCCCGUUUUUGGAUUGGCUAGUCCUUUUCUUGUAGGAAAAGGUUUAGGACUCUAUAAAUAGAGGUUUGUUCCUUCUAACUUAAUCAGCAUUCACAAUGUAGUCCUAGGGUUUUGAGAGUUGCAGUUAUGGAGGAGAGUUUUGUGUACCUCCUUGUAUUCCGAGUGAAUUGAUUGAGGUUAUUUCUUUCNNNNNNNNNNNNNNNNNNNNNNNNNNNNNNNNNNNNNNNNNNNNNNNNNNNNNNNNNNNNNNNNNNNNNNNNNNNNNNNNNNNNNNNNNNNNNNNNNNNNNNNNNNNNNNNNNNNNNNNNNNNNNNNNNNNNNNNNNNNNNNNNNNNNNNNNNNNNNNNNNNNNNNNNNNNNNNNNNNNNNNNNNNNNNNNNNNNNNNNNNNNNNNNNNNNNNNNNNNNNNNNNNNNNNNNNNNNNNNNNNNNNNNNNNNNNNNNNNNNNNNNNNNNNNNNNNNNNNNNNNNNNNNGGGCGUAGUUCUAGCCGCAACCUUUUUUACAGUAAUGAAGAUUUUUGUUGGAGAAAUUGUUUUAGAGAAGUUCUCUGUGUUGAUACAUAGAUUUAAUGGAUGAGAUUAUGGAGAGGAGAAAUAAGCUGUUGAAGAUUAUGUGAAAAAGGUAGACAAAUUUAUUUUGUCAGAAAUUCAAGCCAAGGGGGAGAUUUGUUGGGUUUUAUUUGCUCUGAAUUUCUUACCAUAAAUAGGUUUUCCUUUUAGGAAAAGGUUUUGGAUUGGCUAAUCAUUUUCUUGUAGGAAAAGGUUUAGGACUCUAUAAAUAGAGGUUUGUUCUUUCUAACUUAAUCAGCAUUCACAAUGUAGUCUUAAGGGCUUUGAGAGUUUCGGUUAUGGGGGAGAAUUUGUGGGUCACAAGUUUGAUACGUUAUCACUUGUGUGAACCUCCCAUGUUCCGAGUGAAUUGGUUGAGGUUAUUUCUCUCUAUAUUUUGUACUCUCAUGUUUAUAUAGUGGAUUGCUCAUCUCCUUUGUGGACGUAGGUCGAUUGAUCGAACCACGUUAAAUCUUUGUGUCUUUUGGUCUAUUUCUCGUUUGUCUUCUUACUCAUAGUCUUUCGAGGUUUGCUUUGCUAGCUUCCGCGUUACACCUGCUUAUUUCAGUCCUAACAAAUAGUACCACUCAAAUAGUUGCGCGAGACAUCACUGCAGGACAGAUGUUGAACAAUAUAUAUCUCAGGCAAAGGAUAAUCAAAAUGAUUAUUUGGUAAUAAAAAAAAAAAAGCAAAACUCCUAAGAGUUUGAAAAUAUAGAUCCAAGUCAGUUAAACAGUACAUUUUCGUGAGAUAAGGUAACUUGACCAGGGAGGGAGGGAGAACACCUGCAAGAUCUUGUCCUUUGAGUAAUCAGUUAACAUUAUAAUUUGAAAUCCUGUUGCUUUACAUUAUCCAAAUAUGAAAGCAAAGGUUGUUUAUUAGUUCAAAAUUUUCAGAUCCCCGUGUGGUAAUCAAACUGGUUCCAGAUAAAUAAACAAAGUUUUGACAUAGAGGAAGAAAUAUAUAUGGUGUGUCAUGUAAAUAAAGUUCAUUUCAUUUGGAAUUUUUUCUGUUUUACCUUGGAGGAUUAUUAUAUAGUGUUUAGGGGUAUAGUAUAAAAGCAGGAGCCUAUGCUACUCAUAGCAGGCGUUCAAUGUUUUCCUGAUAUUUCUUUUUGCAUUAUUAGAAGUCGAUAAAUAUAUAUAAUUUUUGGUUAAAGCAAUUGAUUUGGAGUAAGAGUUUUUUUUUUUUUUUCAUUUUUACCCUGCCUAGAACUCCCACCUUUUUUUUGCUCCUGGCUCGAACUCACGACCAUAGAAUUGGAGAUGGAGAGUGCUUACCAUCCCUGUUGUCGGAAUAAGAGUUGGAAUUCAUCUUUUGGUGGAAAAUAUCUAUUUUUUUGGAAAGAAAGCAUUUUCCUAAUACCAAAAACAUUAAGAAGAACAGGAAGAAGCUCACAUGAUUUGUACAUGACAGAAACCAUCAGGGGUAGAGCAAUUACAGGUUACAUUGUUGACAUACGUCGAUGUAUUGUCAAUUUUUGGUGUAGUCCAAUUUGUGUUGCCAUUACAAGGAUUCAAAUCAAAAUCCCAGUCCUUUUUACCCAACUGCUCCGCUAUUUCUAUAAGAGCAUUCUCUGCAAAAACCAUAAAAGUUGUAUACAACAACUCAGAAAAAUGAAUUUUUUACUGUUAAAGAUUCAAACUUUAUAUGCGAAGAAUGAGAAAGAUUACUUUCUUGUUGAGGAAGAAGACGACUGUAAUUUUGUGCUUCAAUGGUUUGUACUACAAAGCAGAGGACUAAGAUAAGCAGAAAAGAAAAAAUACUGAAAUCAUGUGAUUCUGACAUUUUUUUUAAUGCUCAAACAUGCAAAAGUUUGAUUAUUUUUUAUAGAGGAACGUGAUAAAUAUUGCCUUCCGCCUAAUUAUUUGUCCACUUUUGAAUGGAUUCAUCUAUUAAGAAAACAAUGAUUGACUUUACUAUUUUACCCUAUUAAUUAUGAAGUAUCUGAAUUAAAAAUUUAAGAUUUUCAAAAAGUUCUACUUUUUUCAAAGUAAUUAAUUGAGAAUAUAAAAAGUAAUUUUUUUUUUUUUUUAUCUUUUCUUGAUUUGUCAAAAUUAACAAGUAAUUAGGGAUAACUCAAAAAGAAAAAGUAGACAAGUAAUUAAGGACAAAGUAUAUUAAUACUACAUGUCGACAAAAUAGUCCAAUGUCUCCCUAAUCUAUUACCAAAUUUCCAACUAAGCCACUCAAAUAUUUUAGUGGUCUAAAAUUUAUUAAAUAGUCCAUGUGUCAAUUUCAAUUGGAGGUUAUAUAAUUAAUUCAACUUUUUCAAAAUGAAAUUAGUCUUGAUAUCACAAAAUCAUCAUAUACAUUUCAUGAUUUCCUCAAGCUUUUUCCAAAGUUCUUUAAUGGUAGUCUCUAAAAUUGUCUUCAGGAGUACCAAAUCAAUUUGUAGCUAUUGAUUUAUACUUGGUUAAUCAUUUGCUAAUCAUUUUUCACAACAAUCAUCUAAAUCACAAUAAAUUUUCAAUUUUGAAGCUAAAAAUGGAGUUCAAGUGUGAAGUAUCAUCAUGUUUAUUUUUGGGUCGUGACAAAGGGUAGCUUCGCCCAUGAUAAGACAAGAUAUGAUGAAAUUUCAGGUUAUCAAGGACAUGACCUUAGAUAGGGGGGUGUACGUGGAGGACACGUAUUAGGAUAGAAGUUAGAAGGUUAGUAGGUAAUGUAAUGUUGUCUUACCUAAGGUGGUUGGGGUUUUCCAUGGUACUAGGUAUAUUAUUGUAGUUCUUUUUUUUUCUUUUUUUUUUAUCAUUGUUUAUUAUUGUUUUCAAUAUUUAAUCUAUCCUAGCAUGUUGUUCAUUGUGUUUCAAUUAUCACAUUAUAUAAUUAAUGUUUUUGUCUCCUUUCUGGUAGACUUUGCAUUGUUUUAUUUCUUGUUACUUGCUAUAUUUUCUUCACUGCCUCAUUCUUCUUUAUACUUGAAUUUGUUGUACUUGAGUCAAGGAUCUUUCAGAAACAAUCAUUCUACCUUCACGAGGUAAUGUUAAGAUUUGCGUACAUUUUACCCUCCCCAAAUUUCAUUGGGUAUGCUAUAGUUAUCAAAAUUAAACGAUCCUUAAUGUAUGAAAAAAUGUCAUCAUUUUAGUCCUUCAUAUAUAUACCAUGUAAUUAAUCAACAUAUAUAGUUCUUAAUGUAUGAAAAAAUUGUCAUUUUAGUCUUUCAUUUGUACUAUGUAAUCGAAAUAGUCCCUAACGUAUUUUUUUAAAAUCAUUUUAGUCCUAAACCUUAAAGGUAAUCGUGCAAGUAACAAAUAUGUUAUGCUUAAUGUUGACACCCAAUUUUGGCCUAACAUUUUCAAAAUUUCGCAAAUUUUAAGUUUUACUUAUUUAAUAGUUCAAAAUAAUUUUUUUCAUAAUUUUAAAUAAGUUUAUCGAUAGCUAUUCUUAUUUAUCAAAAUUUAGGAUUUUUCUUUUAUCAGUUAAUCUUAAAAUUGCAUUUUUACAUGUCAUUAGUUACGUUCAUUAUAUUUUUUUUAUAUUCAUUUUAUUUGUUACAUUUUGUUAAUAUAUAUUUUGAUAUUUUGCACAGUCUAGAAAUUCAUUCAAAUACAGAUAUUUUACUUGAUCGAUAAUUUUGGGCCACAAUUCCAAGCCCACAAUUGAGCCCAUUUAACAAUUAUUUCUUAUAUAAGUUUUGGUUAGGUUUAAAAAUAGGGGGGAUUUUUUUCAAGAUUGGAUAGGGUAAAAACCCUAAGAAUUCUUGCUCUCAUAUUUUCUAACUGCCGCCACUCCCAAACGAUUUUUUUAUCGAACAAGGCAGCAACCAGCUUGCCCUUCUUCUUGUCCCUUUGCCCUCGUUUUCCAGCAACCAAGCCAAUGACUAGCUACCACCAUCCGAACACUGCCUCACGUUACCAGACCCAACCCCAAAACCCCAUCCCCAUUUCCCCUUGUUUGCUGCAACUAGCAGCUACGGUGAGGAGUUUCAAGGCUCCGAUGAGCCGGAGCAAAAAUAAAAGCCUGCCAGUCCUUUUCCCUUCCCCUCUUCCAUUCUCGAUUUUUUGUUGUUUUUGUAGGUAUUCAAUAAGGUCCCGAGCUCCGGCGAAAUCACAACCCACAACGAACCCGUCACAAAAAAAGGGCACAAUCAGAGAAGCCAACGAGCAUUAGCUCCGGCGAAAUUCCAACGAGCUUGAAGCUCAAGCGAGACUUCGACAACUAGUCGCCAACAAGGUUCACCGAUAGGUAUUUUCUGUCAAAAUUUUAUCAUCUAUUGUGUGUUGUUUGUUUGGUUAUGCCUGUUCUGCAUUUAGAUUGAUCUUUAUGAUUAUUUUAUUUAAUCUUUUUGGAUGUUGUAUUUGUAUUUUCCCCAAUUCUUAGAUCUGUUUUUGUAUUGCAUUAUUUUAUUUGUUUUUGGGUUGUCUUUCAUGAUUUUAUUAUUAUUGUUAUCACUAUUUAUUGUUGUUAUUAUGGGUGUAUUUAUAUUUAUAUUAUUAUUAUUGUUAUGUUUGUUUACAGACUAGACGUUAUUUAGUCACAUUUAGAAUGAGCGUAUUUUAGUUUAAUUGUAUUUUGUCGGUUACUUUACAUUAAUUUGGCACUAGUUAUGAUGAUUUCUCUUUCUUUAGUUAUUUUUCAGGUUGAAUUUUAUUGUAUUUGUUUUAUUUUGUAGAUGUUAAAAAAAAAAUUUCAGUAAGGUAUUCUGCUUCAUGAGCACAUGUGUUUUAUUUAUUAUUAUUAUUAUUGCUAAUUUGUUGAUAUUUGUCUUUCUUUAUUGUUGAUGUUGCCCACUUCCUCGUAGAGUUUACUUUUUAUUAUUUUGUUCUAAUUUAAUCAAUAUUACAUACAUGUUAAGUGGCCAAUGAGAAAAUCUCUCCAUCGGUUUUGGAGGCCUCCCCAUUUUAAAAGACUUAAAUUUAGUUUAAGUUCAUAUAAAUUGUAUGUUAAAAUUGGCCAAUGAGAAAAUCUCUCCGUCGGUUUUGGAGGCCUCUCCAUUUUAAAAGACGGAAUUUUAGUUCAAGUUUAUAUAUUUUAUUUGUUAAAAUGGCCAAUGAAAAAAUCUCUCCAUCGACUUUGGAGGCCUUUCCAUUUUAAAAGACGGAAAUUUAGUUUAGGUUUAUAUAAGUUUUAUGUUAAAAUUGGCCGAUGAAGAAAGCACCGUCGAUUUUCAAGGCCUCCCAUGUUAAUAAGACGAGUUUUUAUUUUUAAAUUCAUAUUUGAUUUAUUUAUUUUUAUUCAUAUUUAUUUAUUACUAACACUUUUACCAAGUGUCUUUACAGGUACCCGGAGGUGCUUCCCAUUGAAGCUAUUCGAAUUAGGUUCGAAUUAUACUCUUAUUUAUAUGGUAUAUUAUUGACGAUAGGCAAAUUUAGGCCGAUUCCUAUAUUAUUGUUUUAUCAUAUUACUUGUGUAAAUUGGAUGUUUAUUAUAUUUGUACAUUAUUUUAUUCUCCUCCUCAAUUUGAAAAAAAUGAAUUCAGUCGGGAUCCACAUUUGUGGAUUUCGAAGGAUGCCUAACUCCUUCCCUUCGAAAUAACUUGAACCCCUUACCUAGAAUCUAAUGGUUUCGUAGAUCACUUAAUGGUUUCCUAGUUUUUUCCUAAAAUUAGGUGGCGACUCCUUUAAAAUUCUUAUUUACUUAAAAUUCUUUUAAAAUUGAUUAUUUUUUGAGCCACCACGACGUUUUACCCUAUUCGAAUAGAGUAGGGAUGUAAACACUUAAUACCAAUAAUUAAGGGCACGUUUGACCAUGUGAGAUGAAAUCAUAUGCGAUGAAGUUGAAGUUUUUGUUUGAAAAUGCAAUUUUGAUUUUUUAAGUUCUAUUUUUUGCUCAUAAAUAUGAAACCUCAUAAGUUGUGAAAAUUAUCAAAAUUACCCCAAUUUUUUAAUACAAUCUUACCAAAUAAGUAAAACUUUAUAACAAAAGUAUAAUAUACUACCACAAAGUUAAUCUAAAACAAAAACACAACAUUUAUUGAUUGAACUUUAGUUCAACAAAAAAGUCAAAUUGAACAUGUGUUACGGUUUCUUUAAUAAAAUUGAACAUGGUUAAUAUCAUUAGUAACUAUAUCAUCAUAUUCAUAUUUCGUGAAUAUGUCAUCACUUCUCUGGUAUUCUCGUAAAAAUUAUUUAGAUAUAAAAUCAUGGAUUUUUUUACAUAAAAUAUAAACUUAUGGGUCAUUUUUUGUAUUUGAAAAAUGUAAAAUCAUGAUACGAAAUUCUCAAAUCAAGUUUUUCAGAGAAUUUAAGAUUUCAUCUCAUUAUUUCAAAUCGCAUGUCCCAAACUCUAAUUUCAUCUUAUGAUUUCAAAUCAUGAGAUAAAAUCACAUAAUCAAACGCUACUUAAGUAUAUUUUUGCUUUUGAAAUCACAACCAUUUGUGUCUCUAGCUUGCUGCAAGAACAAAAGUUAAUGUUUAUUAUAAGUUUUUAAACAUUAAUUAAAUAUUUUUAAGAAUUAUGAUAGUAAAACAUACAGCAGUUAUGAAUAACAUUUAAGAGUAGAAGUUAUAAGUAAGACAAAGAGAUAUGAAUUGUAAAUAAUUUAAAUGAUAUUAGAAAAUUAUUUUUAUAUCUUUGCAAGCAUAAUAAAAAUAAAACUUUUCAUGAUAAUUUUUUUGAUUGAUUAUGCUUCAUAACAAAAGAAGCAAUUUUUUUACUAAUACCGCUUUCGAAUGCUGCUUGAUUAUCUAUGUCGGUUGUGUUAAUCAAGAUUUGUAUUUUAGUUCGGCCAUAAUACGAAAUUUUCUGAUUGGAAAUUCAGUGGACUAGAAAAGUCGACAACCGACGAGAUUUGCUUUAUGUCUUGAAAAAUUAUUACAAUAAUAAUAAUUAAAAAGGGUAGAGAAAAAAAUAAAUAAAUUGACUAGUAUUAUUAUUAUUAGUUGAGAAAUGAACCCUAUUAGCUUAAGAUCAUAAAAUAGACAUCAGUGGACUUGAGACUUAGACUAGGGGUGUACAAAAUCGAAUCGAAAAUUGAACCAAACUGCAAAUCGAGUCAACCCGAAAAAAAAUCCGACUAGUGAUUUGGUUUGACUUGGUUUGGUUUUGAAAAAAAAAACCGACUAUAUUUGGGUUGGUUUGGUUUUAACUAAAAAAAAACAACUCGAGACCAAACCAAUCCGACAUUAUAUAUAUAAUUUUAAAUUUUUAUUUUAUACAUAAAAGUAUUUACUUUGAUAUAAUUUUUAAAUGUUUCUUAUACUUUUUCAUAGUUUUUAUCUUUUAAUAUAUUAUUUCAAGUUUGAAACUUAGAAUUAUGAAUGGGCCAAUAAAGAUUGUAGUCCACAAAUGUUGGUAAUUAUAAUAAAGCUUAAAUCAAAAUCAAAUUAAUACUAAUGCAAAAAGAAAAUCAAUUCAACACUAAGAAUGACAAUAACAUUGAAUAUUUGUUCUUUAGUUUUACAUUGGUUUAGACAAUUAUAUUUUUAAGAAACAUCUUAGAUAGUUGUAUUUUGGUAGGACUAAAGAAAUAUUUGAAGUACAAGUAAAUUAUAUGUUGUGUAUGAAUACUUUACCGGAAAAACCCGAAAAAACCCUAGGUUGAAAAACCCAAUUUUAUUGGUUUGAUUUGGUUUAUAAAUUUAAAAAUCCGACACAAAUGAUUUGGUUUGAUAUUUGAAAAACCCGAACCAACCCGGCCAUGUACACCCCUAACUUAGACUUUUCUUAUAAAUUAUUAUUAUGUUAGGCCCCAAUCAAUAAUAUCAUUGGAAAAUUAUUUAGUCCUUGUGAACCCUCUCAUAAUCUAUUAUUUGUCCUUAGUUUUAGUUUUUGACACAUUCCUUGAAAAAAUAAUCACUCCUAAUAAGAAAAAAUGUGUUUUUUUAAUUAAUAAUCAUUCUAGGCAAUAACAUAAUCAAUGUGGUGUUUUAUAUAAAAGUAAUUAUGGCCGAAUUUUCUUAGCUUCUUUCUUUAAAUUCCAUAGAUAAUUUGGCUAAGGAAUCCAAUGAUCACUUUAACUUUAACUUGAUUACACAUUCUUGAGUUUGAGUCAUGUGUAUGGAGAAAAUUAUAUUGGGGAGUGUCACCCUCAAAUAGACCAUGUAGCGUGCGAUUCAGAUUCAAUUGGUCUCUCCAAAUGUGUCCGCAGUGCGUAAUCCAAAUUUUGUUGGGAUUCCAAUGUGGGCUUCGAAAAUCAGAUCGAAAAACAAAAAAAGAUAUGUAUCACUCAUUUUAGAUUAUAAAUUUCUUUUUAAAAUACUAUCUUCAAUAAUUUAACUACAAUCACAUAAAUUAAAACGAAAACGAAAGGGAUAGUGUAAAUGAAAGAAAGUUGUGUCGACAAGGAUAUUAAUAAUUUAAUAUAGUAGGACAAUUAUCAUAAAAAGAAGAAAUGGUAAAUGCAGUAGUACUAUACGACUUGGUUUUGCUUCACAUUAUACUACAACAAAUAUGAUAUAUAGCUACGAAAUUAUUAGCUACGACAUCAAAUUCGCCACUAAUUAUUCGCUUUUAAUGACAAAAUUUACUUUUCGUGCUUAAAUAUUUGAAACACAUACUUUUAGUGACGAAACAUAAAAAUUUGUAGCAAAGUUUCGUCUACUGAAGUUUCCCACCAAAAAAUUAAUUUGCGCCGUUUGUUAAGUAGUGUUAGUCACGAAUUGAAAGUUAUCGGUGACAUGUUAUUUCAUCACUAAUAAUGUAUCUAAUUCAUGAAAAAUAUUUCAUCUAAAAAAAUAUAUUGUUACAGUAUUGACAAAUUAGAGUUCGUAGUUAAAUAUUAUAAGUUUUAGCUAUAAGAAUUUAGCUUUAAUUAUGAUAUUUAUUUUCGUCACUAAUAGUAUAAAUAAUUGGUGACAAAGAUUUUAUUCUCUCUAAUCAAUUUGUGAUUUAGUGACAACAAAAAACUUGUAACAAAAUAUGUAAGGUGUUAAAUAGCGACGACUUAAAAUUUGUAGUGAAUAAUUCAANNNNNNNNNNNNNNNNNNNNNNNNNNNNNNNNNNNNNNNNNNNNNNNNNNNNNNNNNNNNNNNNNNNNNNNNNNNNNNNNNNNNNNNNNNNNNNNNNNNNNNNNNNNNNNNNNNNNNNNNNNNNNNNNNNNNNNNNNNNNNNNNNNNNNNNNNNNNNNNNNNNNNNNNNNNNNNNNNNNNNNNNNNNNNNNNNNNNNNNNNNNNNNNNNNNNNNNNNNNNNNNNNNNNNNNNNNNNNNNNNNNNNNNNNNNNNNNNNNNNNNNNNNNNNNNNNNNNNNNNNNNNNNNNNNNNNNNNNNNNNNNNNNNNNNNNNNNNNNNNNNNNNNNNNNNNNNNNNNNNNNNNNNNNNNNNNNNNNNNNNNNNNNNNNNNNNNNNNNNNNNNNNNNNNNNNNNNNNNNNNNNNNNNNNNNNNNNNNNNNNNNNNNNNNNNNNNNNNNNNNNNNNNNNNNNNNNNNNNNNNNNNNNNNNNNNNNNNNNNNNNNNNNNNNNNNNNNNNNNNNNNNNNNNNNNNNNNNNNNNNNNNNNNNNNNNNNNNNNNNNNNNNNNNNNNNNNNNNNNNNNNNNNNNNNNNNNNNNNNNNNNNNNNNNNNNNNNNNNNNNNNNNNNNNNNNNNNNNNNNNNNNNNNNNNNNNNNNNNNNNNNNNNNNNNNNNNNNNNNNNNNNNNNNNNNNNNNNNNNNNNNNNNNNNNNNNNNNNNNNNNNNNNNNNNNNNNNNNNNNNNNNNNNNNNNNNNNNNNNNNNNNNNNNNNNNNNNNNNNNNNNNNNNNNNNNNNNNNNNNNNNNNNNNNNNNNNNNNNNNNNNNNNNNNNNNNNNNNNNNNNNNNNNNNNNNNNNNNNNNNNNNNNNNNNNNNNNNNNNNNNNNNNNNNNNNNNNNNNNNNNNNNNNNNNNNNNNNNNNNNNNNNNNNNNNNNNNNNNNNNNNNNNNNNNNNNNNNNNNNNNNNNNNNNNNNNNNNNNNNNNNNNNNNNNNNNNNNNNNNNNNNNNNNNNNNNNNNNNNNNNNNNNNNNNNNNNNNNNNNNNNNNNNNNNNNNNNNNNNNNNNNNNNNNNNNNNNNNNNNNNNNNNNNNNNNNNNNNNNNNNNNNNNNNNNNNNNNNNNNNNNNNNNNNNNNNNNNNNNNNNNNNNNNNNNNNNNNNNNNNNNNNNNNNNNNNNNNNNNNNNNNNNNNNNNNNNNNNNNNNNNNNNNNNNNNNNNNNNNNNNNNNNNNNNNNNNNNNNNNNNNNNNNNNNNNNNNNNNNNNNNNNNNNNNNNNNNNNNNNNNNNNNNNNNNNNNNNNNNACGAAAUUAGAUUUUGUUCAACUACGAAAUACAUAUAACUUUAGAGACAAUUGAUGUCGUCACUGAUUGAAGUAAAAUAAUUAGCGACAAUAUAAUUUUGUCGGUAGUAAUAAUCUUUUUAGUGACAAAACAUACUAUUAUCUACAAAAAAUAUACUUUUUACGAUAAAUAAAUGUCAUAAAUGUUUAAGCAUUUGGGGACGAUUUUUCUUUUUGUAGUUAAUAUAAUACUUUUAGCGACGAAGCACUAAAUCGUCUUUGUAUACUUUUAGAGACACACAUUUAGUGACGAUUGAGUGACGAAUUAUUUUUCGUCUCACAAGUUUUUUAGUGACGAAAUAUGAUUUAUAAAUGACAAACUUAUUUGUCACUGAUAAUCGAAUUUAUUGUAGUUAGCUAGCUAUAUAUGAUGUUAAUUUGACAAUAAUAUUUCUACGUAAAAAGAAAAAAACAUUCAGUAACUAACUGGACUACUGGAGCUGUGCGUUGGAUUAUGCUCUAAUCAAGAUUUCUAGAUGUUAAUGGGAGGAUUAACCAAUCAUAUUUUUCCUUUCCAACUUUAGCUUAACAUCACAAUCCAUACUUUCCACGUAUUUUUAAGAUCAUAAGUAUCAUCAAAAUUAAACAAACAAAUUUAAAUCGAGGAGAACUACUUGUAGCUUGUAGCUCCAAAAAGGAUAAUAAGUUUCAUCAAAAUUGAAGGAACAAAUUUAAAUCGAGGAGAACUACUUGUAGCUUGUAGCUCCAAAAAGGAUCACCAUCAUAUUAAACCGGAGGCGGGGGUUCUAAAUUUCCUUUAAAGAGUUGAUAGUGGGGUUUGAACCCACAACUCUAACGUGGAAAAUAUUUGUUGGGGGUUCACAAGUUAACAUACAUAUAUAUUUAUUUAAUUUUUCAAUACAAAUAUAGAAUCUAUAGAAAAGCUAUUGGGUUCAUCCAAACCAACAAACUCCACCUAGCUCCGCCUCUGUAUUAAACCCCAGAUUUAGAUAUAUAUCUUCCUCAGAUAUGACAGCUAGCAUUCUUGAGUGAUACUGCCAUAUAUAUAACACAUUUAUUUUAAAAUAUGAGAUUUUUCCAUAUUUGAAAAUUAUUUUAUCGUAGCAUCUCAAUUUUACUCUCAUUAAUGACUUGACUUGUUGGAACUCUAACCACUACUCAUUUAAAAUAAAUAGAUAUAUGGAACUAUCAUACUCAUCAAUGCCAUAUUUUGAUACUUUGCAUAGAUUUUGCUUAGGGAAAAGGGUUCCAAAUAUUUUUGAAUUAUUUGAAAUAAGUCAAUUUAUCUUCUAUUACAUUUUUGGCUUAAAAUAUCAUUGUUGUUAAUCAACUAGCUCAAAAAUGUUUUAUAACUGACCAAAUAGCUCAAAAAUACAUUGUCUUUGUGACUCCAAAACAAAGAAAAAAGGAUUAAUUUGUCUUUGAGCUAUUUAAAAUGGAACUACAAAUUAAGGUACUAUAGAUUACUUUAUAGAGUUACAAAAACUAUUAGAGUAAUCAAAGUCCAUAAUACUCCCUCUAUUCAAUAAUAGUUGUUCAUUAUUACUUGAUACAAAGCUUAAGAAAUAUAAAGGAUAGGGGUAAUUAUACCAAAUCACCCUUAAUAAAUACUCCCUCCGUCCACUUUUAUUUGUCAUGUUGCGCUUUUCGAAAGUCAAUUUGACUUAUUUUCAAAGUUAAAUUAGAUUACAUUAAUUCGAUUUUUUAAACAAAAAAAUUUAGAUAUUCAAAAACUAUACGAAAAGUACUAUAUAUUGCAAUUUUUUACAUAUCAAUAUGAAGAUUAAAUAUAUCCUAAAAUGUUAGUCAAAGUUUUUAAAGUUUGACUCUAAAAAUGGAAAGUAUGACAAUUAAUAGUGGACGGAGGGAGUAUAAGUCAUCUAAAUAUUGUUCAGUCUGAGCCUAGACUUGCACGACUUUAAAACGCGUUACUAGUUGGUAAGACGUACUUACUGAUUUACCCAACAUAUCUUCUAUGUUUUUGUCGAUAUGUGACUUCUUGUCUUAAGUUGGGGCAUCACAUAUACCCCUCUAUGGACUAAUCGAGACCGAUAUGAGACUUCUUGUCUAAGUUGGGGCAUCACAUAUACCCCCUCUAUGGACUCAUCGAGGCCGAUAUGAGACUUCUUGUCUUAUAAGUUGGGGCGUCACAUAUACCCACUCUAUGAACUCAGCGUCCUCGCUGAGGUUUGCCCCACCGUAUGAGAUAUGCCAUCAUGGGUAUUUGCCCUGAGUUUCUUACCAUAAAUACUCAUCUUUGAUGUUUGCCCUGUUGGGUGCUAACACUGGAGUGGCUCUCAUGACAUUUGUAACGGCCCAACCCGCUAGUGAUAUUAUCCACUCUAAGUUUAGACCCACAUGACUUUAAAAUGCGUCACUAGUUGGUAAAACAUGCUUACUUAUAUAUCCAACAUCUCUUCUGUAGUUUUACUGAUGUGAGACUUCUUGUCUUGAGUUGGGGUGUCACAAGUAUUUAAUAGCAAAGAUAAAAUAGACCAAAAAAAGUAAAUUCUCAAUGACUAUAUAUAUAGUACUAACAUACUAACACUUGCUAUUUAUGAGGAUGAACUCAUAGGUUCAAAUUCCUUAUUCGUAUCAGUUCUCAUGGCUGUUUUCCAGACAUUAGUAUUAGUAGUAGAGGUUUACCAUUUGCUUGGAAUGGCGUCUCUUCCAAAGUAGUAUCUGUAUAGCCAGUAUAGGCUAUUACACUCACAUCACAUAUAUAGUCCAUAGUAUGUUACUCUUUGUUUCACAAUAUUGAUCUGACUGUGAAUUUAAUUAAGCCGAUUCAGAUGUAGUGGAAGAGCAAUCUCUUCGUGUAGUGUUGGAUGAAUGAGUAAGUGUUUGACUUUCGCUCAAGCUCCGCAUCUCGUCAUACUUGUCUCUUAACCCUUGAAACUUGAGCUCAUCAUCAUCAUCAUCAUGGGAUCUUGAUUCCAAGUUAAACUCAGGAAGGUCAAGAUGAUCUUCAAGAAUGCUGACUACUGCAGACAUGGUUGGUCUAAGUGCUGGAGAUGGAUUGGUACAUAGCAGAGCUACGUUUAUCAUCCUUAGAGCCUCAUCCUUCUUGAAAUCUGAACUCAAUGUUUCAUCUACUAGUUCCAUCAGUUUUCCAUGCUUUUGUAGAACAAGGGCCUGAAUAAAAUGCAAAGAUACUGGUUCAAAAGUUUGAAACAUAGGAAUUAAUAUCAGGGAUAAUGAUUCCUUACCCAAUCCAGAAGACAAACAAAUUUCUCAUUAGGGCGAUAUUUCAUAUUGUUCUUCCCAGCAACAAUCUCUAACGCAACAACUCCAAAGCUGUAGACAUCUGCUUUGUAGGUUAAGUAGCCCCAUAGUGCAUAUUCAGGUGCCAUAUAUCCUCUGCAGAACAGAGUGAAACGUUAGAUUCAUGCAUGUGUUAUUUCUAAACGUGGCAUCAACUUCAUGUUUGAUAUUUCAGUAUAUGAAGAAUGGUUGAUUGUGAUGAGAUACAAGUUAAGUUCAUUGGAAGAAACUUUAAGAUUUGAAGAGGAUACAUAGGCCAGAAACAAUUUCUAUCACUCAAAUUGAAGUAAUGCAAUCAAUACCAGAAAUAUGAUCAAGCUUUCAAAUGAGUCUUCUUUAAGGGCAGCCAGGCCAUUAUGUUCUAGUCCUUGUAACUUCACCACCCUUUUUGGUUAAGAAUAUGUAAACUAUUGCUAGUUACCUUGUAUAAGAUAUCGAAAAUGCAAGAAAGAGAGAAUGUAAGGGUUCUAGCAAUGUUAAAUGUAUAUAUGCUGCAUGGAUGAGAACAACAUACAUCCGUGCCAUAAUAUAUAUUUCUUACUAAAUGAACACAAAACAUAAACAUGAACAAGAGAACUUGUCACAAAACUCACAUGGUUCCAGCAAUUCUAGUGCUGAUAUGUGUUUUAUCCUCAUCGUCAAGUUUGGCCAGACCAAAGUCAGAGAUCUUUGGGUUUAGUUUCUUGUCAAGAAGUACAUUUGUUGCUUUGAUGUCCCUAUGAACAAUUUUUAAUGACGAUUCUUCGUGUAGGAAAGCUAAGCCUUUUGCUAUCCCAAUGCAGAUUUUUUGCCUUGUUGGCCAGUCUAUUUGGAGACGAUGUUCUUCUGGACCUGCAUUUUAAUGAGAACUAAGAAUCUAUUCAUACCUUCUCUUAUUCACACACACAUAGAAUCAUAUAUUGGCUUCUCAUUUUGAACUCUUCCAUUAAUUACAAAAGAACAAUAUUUCUUCUUAUUUCAUUUAACUUAUUUUCUGUUUGACUUGUAAGUUGUAACUGAAAACAAUGAGCAAAGAUAGUAAAUUACCAAAUAAAGCAAGGGCGAGGCUAUUGUUCUCCAAGUACUCAUACACCAAUAGAAGUUGAUUUCCUUCAGCACAACAUCCAUAUAGUUUGACAAGAUUUGGGUGCUGUAAACCAGAGAUCAUACCUAUCUCAUUUACAAACUCACGGUUCCCUUGUUUCGAUUUGGAUGAAAGCUGCUUAACAGCAAUAACGGUACCAUCCAGUAGUGUACCCUGUUUAUUAAUUAAAAAAAAAGAGAAGAAAUAAACAGGUCAUGGAUGUCUAUGCAUAACUUCCAUUUUUAGAUGUUGUAGCUAAACAAAAAAGGCUCUAGGUAAUUGGUUUGUAGUGUGCCCUGCAGUGGACAGUGGACCUAUAGUUCUGACAAUGGUUUCAAUUGAACCCAUCUUUUUCAUUUAUACUGUAGUAAUAUGAGAAAAUCUUUAAAAAUAUACUCCACCCGUUUCGAUUUGUUUGUCUUACUUUCCUUUUUGGUCUGUUUAAAAAAGAAUGUCUCUUUCCUUUUUUGGCAACUCUUUAAUUCUAACUUUCCACAUUACAUGUUAAGAUUACAAGAUUAAAUGAUAUUUUGGUACAUUCUAUCUAUCUUUGAUUUAAGACCAUAGGAUUGAAAAGUUUUCUUUACUUUCUUUAACUUCGUGGCAACUGACAAGUCAAAAUCAGACAAACAAAUUGAAACAGGGGGAGUAAUAAAUAUUAAGUUUUAAACUCAUAAUUUCAAAGAAUCAGAACCUUGAACCCAUUAAGUUAAAUUCUUGGAUUUGCCUCUGCUCGCAUGUGUAUGUAAAAGACUGCAUGGGAUGAGGGCAUUGGUAUGUGGAGAGAGAAAGAGUAGAAAGCUUGUGAGUGAUCAGAUUGAGAUGCACCUUGUAGACAGAGCCAAAACCACCUUCCCCAAUUUUAUUUGCAGCAUCAAAGUUGUUUGUCGCAGCUUUGAUUUGUCUGAUGGUAAAUACACCAGUCAGUAGAUCUAGUCCUCUUAAUUCUGUACAUGUGCAGGGGGAAAAAACAUUUAAAAGGUGUAACACUUCCAUAUAAUGUGGAAAAUCAUGUACUAAUAUGAAAUGUGCAUCUCCAUAAUGUUCUUGUUUUCAAAAUCCAUCAUUUUAUUUUGAUAAGAACUUUUCAGGAAAUCAUAGAGAACACAAUACAGUAAGUUCUAUCUAUUUAAGAAGUAAGACACAAAAUAGGCUGGUACUGAAGCAUCACCUUCUUCCUUUGACAUACUGUUUCUGCUUCUCCUCCAAGCAACAAAGAAUAUUGUAAAAAGGAGAACUAAUGAGGACGCCACUACUCCAGCAAUGAUGUGAGCCAUCUUUUUGUGAUUUGAAGGGGGCUUGAAAUCUAUGAUAUAGAAAAAGGAAGAGGAAGAGUGUAAAAUGCACUUACAUUUGUUUUUAUGCUUUUAAUCUUAAAGUGAUUUGAGGAAAAAGAUGAAGUCUUUUCUCUAGGCUCUCUGAGAAUAAUUAACAUGUGGAAGCAGUAUCAUAAUUUCAUCAUGUAAAAGGUCACCAAGGUAAUAGAAUAAAGUGUAUACAGUGCGUCUAAGAGAGUCUGUGAAAGAGAAAUAAGUGAACCAAAGGGUAAUAGUAGUGUUACUAGCUUCAAAAGAGAUGGCAGAAACUAAAGGGCCAUAGCUUCCUCUUCUAGGGACAGCUGUUGUUCCUUUCCCAGCAUACUGAAAGCGCACUUCUAGAAUGCCAUCUUCUACAGAUGUAUUGAACUUUCUUGUCAAAGCUUCAUCAACUCCUCCAGCAGCAGUUCUAAUGUCAAAAUCUUUGAGCUUCCUCUCACCCUGCAUCCAGUUAAAUUGUUAGCAAACAGCACCUAAACCUGGAUUCAAUAAUCAGAUUAAUAUUUAAUUAACCUGAAUAUAGACAUCAAACAUCCGUUUUCCGAGACUCUGGAAAGAUCGGUUAUCUCUUAUAACAAUCUCUGCAAAGUGCAGUGUCACAGUGUAGUUUCCAUUUGCUAAACAACGUCCAUAGUAAGUUAGAGAUAAAGCUGAGAGCCGAGCUGUCGUGUAUAGUUCAGAGUUAUGUCCCUUAAUUGAAGAUAUAUUAGUUGCCUUGUACUCGUUCAAUGCUAUGGGACGAUCCCAGAAGUCCCCGGUGUUGCUGGAUCCCCAGCUCUCUUUCCAGUAAACAAACUUUGCAGCACCUGCGGAAUCUUCAUCUGCUUCGUAAGUGAUGUCCCCUAUUGUCACACUCUCUCCACCACAAUUUAUGUGCACUGAAUACCAAUCUGUAUUUAAUUAAUACAAAUUAGCAUUGCCUCUAUGUAACAUGACAGACACAAUAAGAAACGAAAUUUUCAAGUGCUCUAAAUCUUAGAUAGAGAGAAAAUGAAUCAUAGUCUUGUAGAAGGAUAAACUUACUCUUUGAACAAUCAUUACUUGACAAGCAUUUCCCAAGUUCUCUGUAUCAAGUUGGAAAGAGGGUCAGAAGGCAUGAACCAGUUGAUAAUUUUCUAAAGAGAAAAACGAUGCAUCUUGUGUCCUAUAAGACAAGUUAAAUAACUUACGAUUUUUUUGUUGAGUUAUAGCUUUUGAACAAGUUUCUGAUAAGAAGAAGGAAAUGUGGCUUAGAGAUAACAACAGCUGGUGUCCCAAUGACAAAAAUGAGUGGGAAGAAGACAUACAGGGUUUCCCGACAAGUAGUUGGCACAGAGCUUUCGUUGAAGUUGUUGUAAGAUAGAUCUAUGACACUGCAAAUGGAGCAUAGCAAAAUCAACAAGUGUGUUGCACAAAAAGAAAUUAUUUUAGGGAUACGAUGUGUAUGAAAAUUUGGCAUUUAUGGGCUAUAUGCCUUUAGAAUCUUAAGUUCUUGAGAUAAAGAGAAUCUAGCAUUCUCAUUGGCAUGAGUAGGUUAUAAGCAAAACCGUGCUAAUCAAAAGUAAUAAACUUACUAUUUGGAAUUUCUACUUUUGAUCCAAUCUUGAAUUGGUCCAGUAAGUCUAUUGCUUGUCAGGUACCUUGUGAAGCAAAAUCUUUAAAUCAACAGAUAUCAAUUUGAACAAAAAACUUCAAAAUAAAUGAAUCAAACUCUCAAAAACCUAUGAAAUGUCAGAAACUAAAAUUUCUUUACAAUAAACGUGUUUGAAGACUCAGCACAUUGGCAUCCAAGUCUCAAGUUUAAAUUUAUCAUAUGUAUUUCAAUUAAGGAGAAGAAGUUGGCUUUGAAUUUAUGGGUGGCAUAGAGUCAGGCGAGCUAAAAGAAGAAUUUAGAGUAUGUUAAGUUUGUCACUUACAAGAGCUCCAGUCUGUCCUGGUUCUCCAGAUCCGGGAUCUGUCCUUCAAGCCUGUUGAAGCUUAGAUCUCUGCCCCAAGAGAAAACCAUAUUCAAUCCAGAAACAAUACUUUACCAACUUGAGAUUAAGUAAUGAAAGAAUUUCGGCAAGGUUGAAAUGCCACAUGAGAGGGAGCUUAAGUGCUAACAAAACCAUGUAUUUAUGAGCCAAAAAAUUUCCAUUGAUCUUCUAGACUGAAAGAAGACGAUCAAUCAGUGAAAGCAUAUGCAUAGUAGAAACCAUGCAUAAACAUGUGCAAUUAAAGGGUCACAAAUGUUGGAGGUACUCCAGAAGUGCUGUAUCAUCUGAAAUAGAACUACAAUGAUGUUCACAUUUAAUUAAGACUCAAUUUCAAUAACCCCUCCUUCUGUUUCCUAGUCUAAAAACAUUGAGCAGAAUUCGCUACAAUAAAAGAGAAGACCCGCAUACAUGAUUCUGUUAAAACAACUGGUUAUGGAAUGGGGAAAGAAAAGGAUUUCAAGAAAGGAAAGAAAACAAAUCAGAGUGAAGGUAGGUAGGUGGAAAACUUACAGAAUUUUCAAUUGAGGCAUAUUAGCUAUGUAAGAAGGAAUCUUCCCUGAUAAAUUGCAGCUCCUCAACAUCCUGCAGUCCCAAAUUAGUCUCAGGAAAGAGAACACUGUCAAAAACUAUGGAAAGUAAUGGAAUUACUUACAAUCUUGUUAGGCCUGUCAUGUUCUCAAGCGGUGGAAAUUCUGAAGCACUUCCAGUCAAGUCACUGACUCUUCUGUAAAGACAUCAAAUUAAUAUAAAAUCCCAACCAAAUAAAAGGGGACACCAUAAUAAGCAACUAAAGAAAGUAUGCAACCUAGAAAACAACUCACAAUUCCUUCAUUUCAGUCAAGACAGAAAUGCUUGGUGGUACAGGUCCUUCAAAACCCGAAGCUUGAAUCUCUCUGUUAACCAAGUAUGAAGUCUGAUAUAAUUUAAAUUUAACUUGGAAUUACUAGGUUUUACACAUCAAAUGGUGUGAAAAUGCUCACAAUUUCUGAAGGUUUUUCAAACUCUCAAAACUAGGAAAUAUUCCAGUGAAGUUGUUACCGCUCAGCCUACUGCAUUGAUACCAAAAGGGAAAGAAGGAGAAUUCAGAAAAACAGGAAUGCAAUAGGACCUAGAGGACAUUAUAUCAGAAGUAUAUUCAGAGUUACUCACAGAUCUGUUAAUUUUGUGAGUUUAUUGACUUCCUCGGGCAACUUACCUGUGAGAUUAUUAAAACUAAGAGUCCUGCACAAAGCAAAAGGUAACUGACUAGUCAAGAUAUUCUAAAACCUUUCAAUUCAUCUAAAGGAGGCUAGUUAGGAAGGCCUUACAGACUCUGCAGAUUAACCAUGUUUCCGAGUUCUUUUGGAACAGUUCCAUUAAACAUGUUAUUCUCCAAACUCCUGAAAGUUUUGCAGUCCAGCUCAAUAAAUGUUAAAAUAAGGACUACUUAUCCUCAUGGGUGUGGUGAAAUCCAAGAGAACAUACAUAUAACGUAGUGUAGUCAUGUUUCCCAAGUAUUUAGGAAUCGGCCCAGAGAGUUGAUUCACCAUAACAGACCUGAAUUAUUGGAUAGUUCAAAUUAAAGGGACCUUUUUAUGUAAUGUCUAAAUUAAAGUAUUAAGUGCAAUUAAAGUGCAGCUCACAUAAAUUCCAGUUUGAUAGAUGCCCAUUCAGGGGGAAUAGUACCACUCAAAUAGUUGAGCGCGACAUCACUGCAGGACAGAUGUUGAACAAUAUAUUUCUCAGGUAAAAAAAGUAAAACUCCUAAGAGUUUGAAAAUAUAGAUCAAAGUCAGUUAAACAGUACAUUGUCUUGAGGUAAGGCAACUUGACCAGGGAGGGAGGGAGAACACCUGCAAGAUCUUGUCCUUUGAGUAAUCUGUUAACAUUAUAAGAAGAUAUUAGAAGUUUGCUUUACAUAAUCCAAAUAUGAAUGAAAGGUUGUUAUUAAUUCAAAAUUUCCGGAUCCCCAUGUGCUAAUCAAACUGGUUUCAGAAAAAUUGGCUUAAUUAAACAUACUGACUAACAACAAAAAUAAAGUUAUUUAUAUUAGGAAAAAAUCUCAACCAAAUAAGUCCUUAUUUCUUUCUUUAUAGAGAAAGAGAAAGUCAGCUAGCUUUAUGCUUUUGAGGAAUUUCUUAGUCAACCAUAUCCCAUGACUAAUAUACUGAAUGGUUUCAAUAUUCUCAUCAUUAGGAAAUUCAUUUUUUAUUACAAUUAUAUGCUCUCAUUAGCCCUAAACAAUGUUUUGACAUAGAGGAAGCUAAGGAACAUAUAUGUUGUGUUAUGUGACCAAAAAAAUAGUUAUAUGAUGACUUUACUGUUAUAGCUGGUAAAUAAAGUUCAUUUUCCUGGGAAAAAAAAUCCUCUUUACCUUGGGGAUCAUUUUAUAGUGUUUAGGGGUAUAAAAGUAGGUGCCUAUGCCACUCAUAUCAGGUGUUCAAUGUUUUCCUGAUUUGUUCUUUUGCAUCAAAAGUUGAUAAUAAUGUAUAAUUUUUUUUACCCUCUCUAGGAACUCCUACCUUUUUUUGUACCCUUGGUCAGGGGCGGCUCAACGUAAUUUGAGGCCUAAAACAAAAUUUAAGUGAGGCCUAAAAUCUAUAUAAAUAUCAAAUAUAGUUGUUUAUUUUUUAAACUUUUUUAAGUUGCAAAUUAUUACUUGAUAUCUUUUCUUAAAAUGAUUUUUUUUUAAUAUCAUUUUUUAAUUAUUAAUUUUAAGUAAUAUUUUAUCAAUUCAACAUUGAAAAAUAUUCUUUUACUGAGGCAAUCAUUAUAUAAAUUGUUAACAUAAUACUAUAAGUAAUAAGUUGACAAACUUCACAUAAAGAUAAGAAUAAGAACCAUAAAAUAUGAUACAAGAAAUUGAUAACUUGGUAUAACCCUACUUUAAUAUGUUUAUGUAAUACUUGAAUAUUUAAGAAGAAACAAACAAAAGAAAAAUUGUAAGUCACUUUUGUUCAAUUUUUCGACUAUUAAUUUAUAUUUUUGAUAGUGUAUUACUCUAAACUUUAUACAAAAAAAAUUUAAAAAUAAAAGUGCAAAAGAAUUUUAAAAAGAUAAAUAAUACGAGUGUUAGCGAAGAGAAUAUAAACAUACAAAAUAAUGUUUUCUUAAUUUCUUCUAUUUGAUUGGCGUUAAAAAUAAUAAAAUAAUAUAUAUUUGUUUAAAAUUAUACUUUUUAAGCAAAAAUAAUUAUUUUUUAAUUAAAAAAAUUAACACAUAAUUUUUUUUUGAUGAAAAAUUGGGGGGGCCUAAGGCAUGUGCCUUAAAUUUAUCAAGCAAGAGCCGGCCCUGCCCUUGGAGACUCGAACCACCUUAGGAUUGGGGGGUGGAGGUGCUUACCAUCCGAGUAACCUUCUUGUCGGAAUAAGAGUUGGAAUUGAUCUUUGGUGGAAAAUAUCUAUUCUUUGGAAAGAAAACUUCAAGAAAUUGAAGAUGGCUUAGAAAACAUUUUCCUAAUACCAAAAACACCCAUAAUGAAGAAAUUGGGGGCAAAUAAGAAGAUCCAAAUUUAUAAGGAAGAAGUCUCACAUGCUUUGUACAUGACAGAAACCAUCAGGGGUAGAGCAAUUGCAGGUUAUAUUGUUGACAUACAUCGAUAUCUUGUCAACUUUUGGUGUAGUCCAAUUUGUAUUGCCAUCACAAGGAUUCAAAUCAAAAUCCCAGUCUUUUUUACCCAUCUGCUCCGCUAUUUCUUUUAGAGCAUUCUCUGCAAAACCAUAAAAGUAGUAUACAGUUUUUUUUUAAAAAGACUUAUCAGCUUAAAUGGAAACCAUGAAAUCUUCAUCUGGGGUUGCAACAAGAACUCAUAAAAAUGGAUUUUUUCGGUAAAGAUUCAAACUUUAUAUGCGAAGAAUGAGAAAGAUUACUUUCUUGUUGAGGAAGAAGACGACUGUAACCUUGUGCUUCAAUGAUUUGUACUAGAGAGCAGAGGACUAAGAUAAGCAGAAAAGAAGAAAUACUGAAAUCAUGUAAUAAUGCUGACAUUUUCCUUAAUGCUCCAACCUGCAAAACUUGCAACUGAAUACACAAAAGUAACAAAUAGAUAUGUAUAUCUUAUCAACAUGGUUGCUGACAUUGUUUCAUUCUUAAUCAAAUAUUUCGAAAUUUCAAUUUAGGGUAGGUAGAAAAUUUUAUUAAAAGUGUGCUCCUUAAAUGGACCUUGCGGUGUUAGAUCUAAAUUUAAUUUGGAGCUUCAAUAUAAGCUUCGAACACAGCUUGAAAAAUCAAAAAAAAAAAUGUACUUAUUUUAGAUUACGAUUUUUUUUUAUAAUACAAUCUUCAAUAAUUUACUAUCAUACAAAUUAAACGAAAAAGAAAGGAGGAGUGUGAAUUGAAAGCAAGUUGUGUCGACAAAUUUGUACGUAUCGUUAGGAUCAUUAAGUUUUAUUGAAAUCAAACGAACAAAUUUAAACCGAAGAGUACUGCUUGUAGCUUGUAGCUCCAAAAAUUAAAGGACCAUCCCUAAUAUGUCAGCUGUACUAAUUAAUGAAGAACUUAAAAAUUAAACACCAGAUUUAGAUAUUUAUCUUCCUCAUAUAUGAUAGCUAGCAUUCUUGAGUGAUAAGUACCAUUUUAUGUAACAUUUAUUUAAUAGUUAUCUUAAAACAUGAGAUUUUUCUAUAUUUGAAAAUAAUUCUAUUGUAGCAUCAAAAUUUCACUCUCAUGACUUGACUUGUUGGAUCUCUCAGCACUAUGCAUUUAAAAUAAAAAGAUAUAUAGAAAGCUUAUCCACAUCAGUUAUGAUAUUUUGCAUAGAUUUGUCUUAGGAAAAAUGAUCUAAAAUAUUUUUAAACUAUAUAAUCGAAAUAAGUCAAAUUAUUUUCUAUUAUGUUCUCGGCUAACCAAAUAGCUCGAAAAUACAUCGUCUAUUAAUGGUAGCUCCAAAUAAAGAAAAAAGGCUCAAUUUUAUGAACUAUUUAUUAUGGAACUACAAAUUAAGAUACUAUAGAUUACUUUAGAGAAGUGCGGUGUCAAAAAGGUAACUUUUUUCCUAAAAAAAAUAUAAACGGUAUAUCAAAAAAAAUUCAAACCAAAAGGGCAAAAUCGCUCCUGAGGGAGCGGUCUUUCGAAUAAAAUUAACACCAUUUGCCGUUAAAAUAUUCUAUCAAAUUAAGAGCAACUUUCACAUAUAGCAAACACAAAAUUCAUAUUUGUAUGCUAUAGCAAAGUUUGCAUAAUUGUGCUCCAUAGCAAACAUAAAUAUGUAUAUUUCGCUAUACAUAUACAAAAGAAAGCAGUUAUAUAAUCUGCUUUGGUAUACAUAUACAAAAAGAUCAAUUGUAUAAAGUGAGAGAGGCGAGUGAGCGAGCGAGAUCUGGGAGAGGGGAGAGAGGGGAACGAAAAUAUAUGUAAAUAUACAAUUUUCACACAUUUUAUACAUUUGAGUUUUUGUAUAAAGUGAGGGAGGCGAGUGAGAGAGCGAGAUCUGGGAGAGGGGAGAGAGGGGAACGAAAAUAUAUGUAUAUAUACAAUUUUCUCUCGCUUUAUACAAACACAAACGCACUUUAUACACUUGCGUUUGUAUAAAAAACAAGAGAGGNNNNNNNNNNNNNNNNNNNNNNNNNNNNNNNNNNNNNNNNNNNNNNNNNNNNNNNNNNNNNNNNNNNNNNNNNNNNNNNNNNNNNNNNNNNNNNNNNNNNNNNNNNNNNNNNNNNNNNNNNNNNNNNNNNNNNNNNNNNNNNNNNNNNNNNNNNNNNNNNNNNNNNNNNNNNNNNNNNNNNNNNNNNNNNNNNNNNNNNNNNNNNNNNNNNNNNNNNNNNNNNUGGGAGAGUGGUGAGCGAGAUCUGGGAGAGUGGCGAGCGAGAUCUGGGAGAGGGGAGAGGGGGGAACGAAAAUAUAUGUAUAUAUACAAUUUUCUCUCGCUUUAUACAAACACAAACACAUUUUAUACACUUGAGUUUGUAUAAAAAAUGAGAGAGGCGAGGGAGAGAACGAGAGUGGCGAGCGAGAUUCACCAGGAGAGAGGUGAAAUAGCAAUAGUUUGCUAUGAGGUACAAUUAAAUCAAACUAUAUUUAUAGCAUUUAAUUUGAAUUAAUAGUUUGCUAUUAUAUACAAUUUUCCCUACAAUGAAUGUGCCUAGAAAAUAAUUUUCCCCGAUUAAAGACUUGUCAGUAUAUAAGAUAUUCUCAUUUUAUUUAUUAUUUUAUUUUGCUUUUCAAGUCAAGUGUAAGUUUCUUAUGUUAGAUUGAUGUAAAAAUAUUUUUAGCAGCCUUUCUUUUGGUACCAAACAUAACCCGAAGAGAAAAUAUGAAAUAUAAUUGACAUUAUUUGGGAAAGUUGUAUAUUAUAUCAAACUAUUAAUUCAAAAUAAAUGUUACAACUAUCGUUUCAUUUAAUUUAAAUUCGUAGCAAACACAUUGCCGUUCUCGCCUUUCUCCCCUGAAUCUUGCUCGUCACUCUCAAUUCUCUCCCUCGCCUCUCUCACUUUUAUACAAACACAAAUGUAUAAAUUGUGUUUGUGUUUGUAUAAAGCGAAAGAGACAAAUACAAAUACAUAUCUCUCCGUCCUAUAUACUUAUAAUUAUACUAAUACAAAUCUUCCUCUGCACAAUUCUCUUUUGUCUUUCUCUCUCUCGUUUUAUACAAACAUAAAUUAUACAAAUACAAUAUAUAAUUUGUGUUUGUAUAAAAGUGAGAGAGACGAUUUAUCGUGAAAAUAAGAGCAGCCUCAUGGGAUAAUUUAUUGAAGCAAAGUGUAGAAAAAGAAAUUAAAUUAGAAAUUUUAUACAAAUCACAUAGUGUAAACGGUUGAGAGCUAAUCACAUAUAUUCCUAUUCAAAUUAUAAAAAUCCCUUGAAUUUGGUGAAGUCUGGAUACAUCUCAAAAAGUCCCGAUACAUGACUUCUCGAUUUUGAAUACAUCGCGUACGUUUCGAUACAUACGCGAUUACAUUCAUACAGGGAAUGGGAGCCGUAGGCUCAAUGCUACCCAGAGAUUGCAUAGUACACAAAAAAGUAGAGAGUGACGGAUACAAAAUAUUAGGGUUACCUACGCUACGUUACUACUAUCUAAAAUAAGUUGAUUGAAAGAGGUCAUCGCAUUUAGUUUAUGUCAGUUCAAUUUUGGUCUUCUUGUACUGUCCACUUGAAAGAAAAAAAAUUAUUCCAAUGUCUACACACGUUAUUAUGUCCCAUUGGAUCCAAAUUCCACUAGACUUGUACUAUAUGCACACUGUUUAUUAAUUUGUUUUUAUCAAAAUUAUAUAUUUCAAUGUAGACGGCUAGCCAAAGGAUAACAAAUAUCUUUAUCACUUGUCUAUUUUAUUAUUUUGGAUAAUUAUCUUUAAAAAAUAUUUAGUUAUUCUUUUCUUAUCAAUGUAUCUAUAAUAAUUCCUUGAGGAGUUGAGUUUAUGGGUUAAACGCAUCAAUCAAGAAAUAAGAAUUCAACAUAGAAAUAUUGCUACACUAGAAUAAAAGGAAAGAGAUUUGGGAUUAGGAGAAACCAUGUUGAAGGUCGAAACAAAAGACAAAUCAAGUCAAGUAAGAUUGGAUUCCUUAACCAAGUUCAAGUGGGAUUUAUAGAAGCUAAAGGAAAUUUGAUCGAUCAUUAAUUACUUACUACACUUACAUAAAGCAUCAUAUUGAUGCUAUUGCCUCUUAUGUUAUUCACACAAAUUGAGAUUUAUUCUUUGCAAAUAAUGAUUAUCGUAAAUUGUGCUUAAACAUGUUGGACGUAUUAUGAUUUUAAAGCUAAUUUUGUCAACUCUAAAUGAAGUAUUUGAAUGAGGCAAUAGUCUACUCAUCUUAUUCCGCAAAUUAGCAUGUCAGAUUCAACUCCAAUAGGUCAUUUGGCGUGUGAUGUACAUGUAUACACUUUUUAACUCUGAAAAUUUAGCCACUAUGAGAUAUAAAAAUGAGUUUUUAUCUUUUAUGAGUGAGGUAAAGACAAAUAAGUGGAAUUUUAUCUAAUCAAAUAAUUAUUAAAUAGCUCAAAAAAAUUAAAAUAUUUAAUUAAUGGUAAAUUAAUAAAAACACAAUUUUCUUAUUAGGAGUGAAUAGUUUUUAUUUUUAUUUUUAAGGAAUGUACUCAAACUAAAAACACGAGCGUAAUGAAGGAAGUAUUUUUUUAUUAUUUUGCACGACUAUUAUUAUUGUCUAUUUAAAAUGAUAAGUUUCAAGGACAAGGACUAAUGAUUUUUCAAUGAUAUUAUUAAUUGGGGCCUGGAAUAGUAGUAAGUCAAGCCUCAAGUCAGCUGAUGUCUAUUUUAUGAUAUUAAGCUAAUAGGUUCAUAUCUUAAGUGAUAAUACUAGUCAAUUUUAUUUAAAUUUUCUCAUCCUCUUUUUUUUUUUGUUAAAAGAGGAGAUAUUAUAGAGUUCAGAACCUAAAUAAGCCACAAAAAGAUAAAAGUGAUUAAAAUAAGUCACUAUUCUAGUAACUAACUAAGAUAGACUUAGUGGAAGAAAAAAUUAUGUUUUAUGCAAUAUUCCAAACGUUUUCCGUUAGUCUCAUAACAUGUAUAUUUUAAUAUAUAACGGUACUAUUUCUUACACUUUGUAAAGUGUAAGUUUUUCUUACACUUUGUAAAGUGGAAGUUUUUCUUACACUUUAUAAAGUGAAAGAAAAAAUUUUGUUUUACAAAGAGGAAUAUUUUUCACGUUCUCUUUAUGAAGCUUUUGCAGUGUUUGUCAUACAAUUAUAUUGAUUUGACAUAUCAUUAAAACGGAAAAAUACGAGUACUAGUUUUCUUAAAUAAUUGCUUUACUUUGUGCUUUGAAUUCAUAAUCUUUUUGAAAUUUUAAUUUUUCUUUUUGUAGCAAGUCUAUGCUUUGAUGUUUGAAGCUAACAAAAAUGUGAUAUUUUCACUACAUUUUAAAUAUACCGUAGGUACUAUUUGCAUGGGACACAUACAAUGAAGAACAACUUUCACAUAUAGCAAACACAAAAUUCAUAUUUGUAUGUUAUAGCAAAGUUUGCAUAAUUGCGCUCCAUAGCAAACAUAAAUAUGUAUAUUUCGCUAUACAUAUACAAAAGAAAGCAGUUGUAUAAUCUGCUUUGGUAUACAUAUACAAAAAGAUCAAUUGUAUAAAGUGAGAGAGGCAAGUGAGCGAGCGAGAUCUGGGAGAGGGGAGAGAGGGGAACGAAAAUAUAUGUAUAUACAAUUUUCUCUCGCUUUAUACAAACACAAACNNNNNNNNNNNNNNNNNNNNNNNNNNNNNNNNNNNNNNNNNNNNNNNNNNNNNNNNNNNNNNNNNNNNNNNNNNNNNNNNNNNNNNNNNNNNNNNNNNNNNNNNNNNNNNNNNNNNNNNNNNNNNNNNNNNNNNNNNNNNNNNNNNNNNNNNNNNNNNNNNNNNNNNNNNNNNNNNNNNNNNNNNNNNNNNNNNNNNNNNNNNNNNNNNNNNNNNNNNNNNNNNNNNNNNNNNNNNNNNNNNNNNNNNNNNNNNNNNNNNNNNNNNNNNNNNNNNNNNNNNNNNNNNNNNNNNNNNNNNNNNNNNNNNNNNNNNNNNNNNNNNNNNNNNNNNNNNNNNNNNNNNNNNNNNNNNNNNNNNNNNNNNNNNNNNNNNNNNNNNNNNNNNNNNNNNNNNNNNNNNNNNNNNNNNNNNNNNNNNNNNNNNNNNNNNNNNNNNNNNNNNNNNNNNNNNNNNNNNNNNNNNNNNNNNNNNNNNNNNNNNNNNNNNNNNNNNNNNNNNNNNNNNNNNNNNNNNNNNNNNNNNNNNNNNNNNNNNNNNNNNNNNNNNNNNNNNNNNNNNNNNNNNNNNNNNNNNNNNNNNNNNNNNNNNNNNNNNNNNNNNNNNNNNNNNNNNNNNNNNNNNNNNNNNNNNNNNNNNNNNNNNNNNNNNNNNNNNNNNNNNNNNNNNNNNNNNNNNNNNNNNNNNNNNNNNNNNNNNNNNNNNNNNNNNNNNNNNNNNNNNNNNNNNNNNNNNNNNNNNNNNNNNNNNNNNNNNNNNNNNNNNNNNNNNNNNNNNNNNNNNNNNNNNNNNNNNNNNNNNNNNNNNNNNNNNNNNNNNNNNNNNNNNNNNNNNNNNNNNNNNNNNNNNNNNNNNNNNNNNNNNNNNNNNNNNNNNNNNNNNNNNNNNNNNNNNNNNNNNNNNNNNNNNNNNNNNNNNNNNNNNNNNNNNNNNNNNNNNNNNNNNNNNNNNNNNNNNNNNNNNNNNNNNNNNNNNNNNNNNNNNNNNNNNNNNNNNNNNNNNNNNNNNNNNNNNNNNNNNNNNNNNNNNNNNNNNNNNNNNNNNNNNNNNNNNNNNNNNNNNNNNNNNNNNNNNNNNNNNNNNNNNNNNNNNNNNNNNNNNNNNNNNNNNNNNNNNGGGAGAGAGGGGAACGAAAAUAUAUGUAUAUAUACAAUUUUCUCUCGCUUAAUACAAACACAAACACACUUUAUACACUUGCGUUUGUAUAAAAAAUGAGAGAGGCGAGGGAGAGAACGAGAGUGGCGAGCGAGAUUCACCAGGAGAGAGGUGAAAUAGCAAUAGUUUGCUAUAAGGUACAAUUAAAUCAAACUAUAUUUAUAGCAUUUAAUUUGAAUUAAUAGUUUGCUAUUAUAUACAAUUUUCCCUAAAAUUAAUCAUUCUAGCCGUCCUUUUUUCUUCUAGAUAUAGGCUUGUCAUUAAUGUCACAUGGGAAAACCGAUAUAUAUUUUUUUCCUCUUAGCCGCUGUCGGUACCAACUUUAGAAUUACUUUCAGUAAAGAUCCUUUAACGGAGUUUGUAUUUUUCAUUUUUACCAUUCAAAUUCGAGAUCACUUAUUGAAAGUGCAAAGGAUCAUAAUUAUCUCAUCACUAUUUUUUUAAAUAACGAUUUAGGUAUAUCUUGCUAAUUAAAAAAACUCUUUAGAUUUAUAUUGUCUUUGCAUGUUUAAUGAGGUAAUAUCUUAUAUGGUCACUUAAUUAAGAUUUAUAUUUUUAAAAAAACCUCCAAAUAUCGAUAUUUUACCCAAUUAGUCAUGAUUAUGGUAGUUGAGCGUGAAUGUCAGUGCUAUAACUGACUAGCAAGUUGAUUCUAAUUAAUGUGAAGUGUUAUUAUGUACCACUAGUUGACUUUGUCGUCUUCAUCUGAGUUAACUAAAGGGCUCGUUUGGUAGGAGGGAUAAGAUAUAACUAAUUGCGAGGUUAAUUUUAGGAUGAGUUUACCCAUGUUUGUUUAGUAUAAAAUUGUUGGAUAAUUUAUCUCAAAAAUGUAGUGUUUUGGAAUUAAUCUCAAAAUAACUUGUUUCCAAACCAAACAGUCCUAAAUGUUAUAUAUAGUUGGCAAUGGAUGCUCAGUACAAGCCACCUCAUAAUUACAAUAGUUGCACACAAAUAUCUUAUGUUUGAUAAACCACCAAGAAAAUAUUGUCUCGAAAACAUUUAUAGUGUGAAUUUAAGCUGAUGUAGAGGUAGUGUAAGAGCAAUCUGUAGUUGUAAUAGUAUUUGAUGAAUGUGUAAGUGGUUGGCUUUCGUUCGUAUCUUCAUACUUGUCUCUUAACCCUUGAAAGUUGAGAAGAUCAUAAUCAUCAUAGAAUCUUGAUUCCAUGGUAAACUCAGGGAGGUCAAGAUGAUUUUCAAGAAUUUUGACUACAGCAGACAUAGUUGGCCUAAGUGCUGGAGAUGGACUGGUACAUAGCAAAGCUACAUUUAACAUCCUUAGAGCCUCAUCCUCGUUCAAAUCACUGCCCAAUGUUGCAUCUACUACUUCCUUCAGUUUUCCUUGCCUUUGUAGAACAAGAGCCUGAAUAUACAAUAAAAUGCAAGCCACAUGUGUUAUGUAUGUCACAUGUGUUGAAGACAGAAUGAAACUUUUAGAUGAAAUGAUCGUGCAAUUCAGUUAAUCCCGGAGUCCUUACCCAAUCUAGGAGGCAGACAAAUUUCUCAUUGGGGCGAUAUGUCAUAUUGCUUUUCCCAGCAGCAAUCUCUAAUGCAAGAACUCCAAAACUGUAGACAUCUGCUUUGUAGGUCAAGUAACCCCAUAGUGCAUAUUCAGGAGCCAUAUAUCCUCUGCAGAACAAAGUGAGAACCUUAACUUCAUGGAGACAAGCAGGUCAAAGAUAUAGAGAUGUUCAAUUUGUAUUCUUUUUUUUUUUUGUUUUGGUGUCGUUGAAGAAUAUUAUGACACGUAGAAUUAACCGUACUGUGGCUAUCAAUAAUCGAUACAUUUCCUCUUUAAAGAACACAAACAUGAAUGAGAGACUUGUCAGAAAGUUUACAUGGUUCCGGCAACUCUAGUGGUAAUAUGUGUGUUAUUAUCAUCAUCAUCAAGUCUGGCGAGACCAAAGUCUGAGAUUUUCGGGUUUAGUUUCUUGUCAAGAAGUACAUUCGUUGCUUUGAUGUCCCUAUGAACAAUUUUUAAUGACGAUUCUUCAUGUAGGAAAGAUAAGCCUUUUGCUAUCCCAAUGCAGAUUUUUUGCCUGGUUGGCCAGUUUAUUUUGAGCCGAUGUUCUUCUGGACCUGCAUUUUAAUGUGAAGUAAAAAUCUAUGCAUACCUUCUCGUAAACACACACGUUAAGAAAUACAUAUUGACUUCUCAUUUUAAACUCUUUCGGUAAUUACCAAAGAGCAAUCUUUCAACUUGUUUCACUUUUAGCUUAUUUUCUGCUAGACUUAUAACUAAAACAAUGAAGAAGGAUGAUAAAUUACCAAAUAAAGCACGAGCCAGGCUAUUGUUCUCCAUGUACUCGUACACCAGUAGCAGGUUAUUCCGUUCAGCACAACAUCCAUAUAGUUGUACAAGAUUUGGGUGCUGUAAACUAGAGAUCAUACCUAUCUCAUUUACAAACUCACGCUUCCCUUGUUUCGAUUUGGAUGAAAGCUUCUUAACAGCAAUAACUGCGCCAUCCGAUAGUGUACCCUGUUUAUUAGUAUAAAAGAACAGAAAAACUGGUUGAUUAAGGCUGUCUAUACAUAUUAUCUAUAUCGGAUGUUGUUGCUAACCUAAUAAAGUAGAAAGCUUGAUAGAGGUAAGAUUGAGAUGAACCUUGUAGACAGAGCCAAAACCACCUUCCCCGAUUUUAUUUGCAGCGUCAAAAUUGUUUGUGGCAGCUUUGAUUUGUCUGAUGGUAAAUACACCAGUCAUUGAAUCUAGUCCUCUUGAUUCUGUACAUUUAUAGGAAAAGAGAACAUUUAAAAAAGGAAAUGACUUCAUAUAAUGUGGAAAUUAUGUAAUAUGAAAUGCAUAUAGCCAUAAAUGUUUCUUUUCUUGAAAAUCCAUUAUUUUCAUUUGAUAACAACUUUUUCAAGAAAUCGCGUAGAACAGAUUAUAUGUAUGUUCAAAUAGGCUGCUGGGGGUGUAGUAGCAUCACCUUCUUCCUUCGCUAUCUUGUUUUUGUGUCUCUUCCAAGCAACAAAAGAUAUUAUGAAAAUGAGAAUUAAUAAGGACACCACUGCUCCAGCUAUGAUGGGAACCAACUUUUUGUGAUCAGGAGGGGGCUUGAAAUCUAUGAUACAGAAAAAAUAAGAGUAAGAGUAUAAAAUGCUCUAGCAUUUGUUUGUUUGUUUUUAAUAUUAAAGUGAUUGAGCAAAUAAUUCAAGUAUAUCCUCUGGGCUCUCUAAGAAUUAAGUAAUAGAAUUAAUCGUGCGGUGUGUUUAAGGGUGUCCUUUGUAAAAAGAGAAAUAGUGAAAUUACUAGCGUCAAAAGAGAUGGCAGAAACUGAAGGGCCAUAGCUUCCUCUUCUAGGGAGAACAGCUGUUCCUUUCCCAGCAUACUGAAAGCGCACUUCUAGAGUGCUGUCUGCUACAGUUGCAUUGAACUUUAUCGUGAAAGGUUUAUCAACUCCUCCAGCAUCAGUUCUAAUAUCAAAAUCUUUGAGCUUCCUCUCACCCUGCAUCCAGUUUAAAUUGUGAGCAAACUGCACCUAAACCUUGACUUAAUAUUCGGAUGAAUGUUAAUUGACCUGAAUAUAGACAUCAAAUAUCCGUUUUCCAAGACUUUGGAAAGAUCGAUUGUCUCUUAUAACAAUCUCUGCAAAGUGCAGUGUCACGGUGUAGUUUCCAUUUGCUAAACAACGUCCGUAGUAAGUCAGAGAUAAAGCUGAGAGCCGAGCUGUCGUGUACAGUUCAGAGUCAUUUCCCUUAAUGGAAGAUAUAUUAUUCGCCAGGUAGUCUUUUGCUGUUAUGGACUUAUCCCAGAAGUAUCCACUGUUGCUGGCUCCCCAGCUCUCUUUCGAGGAAGUAAAUUUUGCUGCACCUGCUGAAUCUCUAUCUGCUUCAUAAACGGUGUCCCCAAUAGUCACACUCUCUCCACCACAAUUUAUGUGCACCGAAUACCAUUCUGUAUAGAAUUAAAGCGGAGAAAGUUUCAUUGGAUAUUAUGAUUUUCAUGCAAUAUACAAGCAGAAGACACAUGAUUUAACUUUUGCCUCUAUCAAAGUUGAGAAAACAUACAUAUUAUAUUAACAAUGAUCAGAGCCUAGUAGAAGGUAUAAACUUACUCUUUGAACAUCUUGGCACACAUUUCCCAAGUUCUCUGCAUUAAAUUGUAAGGAAGAGUCAGAACUCAGAAGGCAUGAAACGGUUAAUCAUGAUAAAUCUAGGGUCCUAUAAGACAAGUUAAUGACUUACGAAUUUUUCAUUCCAUUAUAGCUUCUGAAUAAGUUUCUGAGAAGAAGAACGAAAUUUAGCUUAGAAAUGACUAAGAACCUGUACCGCGAUAAGAAAAAUGAGUGGGAAGAAGGCAUAAGGUUAAAGACUCAUACAGGGUUUCCUGACAAAUAGGCUCAGAGCUCUCACUGAAGUUGUUGUAAGACAGGUCUAUCAUGCUGCAAAUAAGAUUUGUCAGUGUUUUUCCAAUACUAUCAAUGUAAUGAAGGGAGUUGGAAUACUUGUGCUUUCAUUGCAGGAUGCAAAUGCUAGUUAUAAUACCGGUGCGUAGUAACAUUUUUAUAGUCCAAAUUAAAUUAGUUUUCCCAAAAUCAGUAGGUCUAAUGUUUUCAAGCUCUUUUAUGUCUCUCAUUUACUUCUUGAUUCAGAGAGUAGAAAGCCAGGAAGCUAAGUUCAUCCACUGUAAUUAACUUAAGAAGUUAUGAGAAGUGACUUUGGAAUACUUACAUAACUCAUCUUAAUCUAGCGUUUUCCAGAACUCUAUGACGAUACAAAUAGGGCAUGGAGAGCAUGAUGUAUGGAGGGUAACUAAAACCUUUAGUCACCUCUAUAGCUUCUAAAUUUGGAGAAUACUCUUUCUCUUUUUGUUCAACCAAAUUCCUAGCUUGUAAAUACAGAACCAAGUUGACAAGUUCACUAAUGCAUCUCAACAAAGAAAUACAAGUUGCCGAGUGCAUGACAGAGUCAGCAAGCAAGUGUUUCAUAAAAAGAAAUUCUUUUUAAGGGAUACUAUGUUCCUGCAACAUUGACAUUUAUGUCUAUAUAUGCUUAUGGAAUCUUAAGUUCUUGAAUAAGUUGGCAUUCUUAUAGGCAUGAGUUGAUUUAUAUGCAAAACCAUACUGAUCAAAGGUAGCAAACUUACUGUUUGGAAUUUCGACUUUUGACCCAAUCUGGAAUUGGCCCAGUAAGUCUAUUUCCUACCAGGUACCUAGCAAAGAAACAACUACAAUUCAAUUGGAGAUAGCAAUUUGAACAACAAACUUACAUAAAUGAAUCAAGGUUAAAAAAGCCUAUAAAAUGUUGGACACUAAAAGUUUCUUUGAAAACAAACAUGCUUUGAAGUCUCAGCAACUUGGACAUCCAUGUCCAGGGUUUAAAUUUUAUUCAUUUGUAUUUUCUGUUAGAGAAAAGGACUUAGCAUUGUUGAGAAUAUAAUUCCGACGAAUUGGCAAGCUAGCUAAAAUAAGAAUUUGAGCAUCACAUGUUUCAUCCUUAUGUCUGUCACUUACAAGAAGUCCAACUUCUUCAGACUCUCAAGAUUUGGGAUCGGUCCUUCAAAGCUGUUGAAACUUAGAUCUCUGCAGCAAAGGAAAACCAUAAUCAAGCCAGAAACAAGGAAAAGGAUGCAAAUGAGGUUUUAAUAUCUUGAGAUUCUAAGCUAAUAACAAUAACAUCAUGUAAAUUUACAGUAUUUGGAGAAAGUGAUGCUUUAAGUAACAUUUUUCGAAAACAAGAUUCCAAUUCAUCCACCAAACCUGGAAGCAUUUCCUUUCUCCUCUUGGAGAGACAUUCACCUGCAUACCGUCUUCAUAAAAGGCAUACAAUAAAUGCUAACACAUAAUCCAUACACAAUUCCAGUGAACCCUUUUUUCUGUCUCCUGAAGUUAUAUAAAUAAACAGAAUUCGCAAGACAACAAUAAAGAAAGGCUCACAUUGAUGGCAUGCACGAUUAAGGAGAACGAAAAGUAUAUUAAGAAAGAAAGAAAGAACAAACAUCAGAGUGACUGUAGAUAGCAGACUUACAGAAGUUUUAAUUUAGGCAUAUUAGUUAUGUAAGGAGGAAUCUUCCCAGAUAAAUUACAGUUCCUCAAUAUCCUGCAAUCACACAUUAGUUUCAGAAAAAUAAAAUAAAAACACUUCCCAUUGACUGGGGAAGCUAGUGGAACUAUUAAUGCAUAAAUGCAAACUUCACGUGAACUACAUACAAUCUAGUUAGGCGUGUCAUAUUCCCAAGCAGUGGAAAUUCUGAAGCACCUCCAGUCAAAUCAGUGAUUCUCCUGUACAGACAUAUAAUUAAAGUUAAAUUCUAACCAAACAGAAGAGAACCAAAGAAAGUAUGCAGCACAGAGAACAACUCACAAUUCGAUCAUUUGAGUCGAGACAGAAAUGACUGGAGCUAUAGGUCCUUUAAAACCAGAAGCUUGAAUCUCUCUGUUAACCAAGCAUAAAGUCUGAAACAACUAAUUGCAUAAAUCUAGAUAUUGAAAGCUUUUAUAUACAUCAAAUGGUUUGAAUAUGCUUACAAUCUUUGAAGGGUUUUAAAACUCUCAAAGCUAGGAAGUUUUCCUGUGAAGUUGUUACCUCUCAGCCUACUGCAUAGGUGCCAAAAAUGGGAAGAACUCAGACAAACAGGAAAUGCAAUAUGACCUAGAGGAAACGUAUAUCCGGAGGAGGCACUUACAGUUCUUUCAAAGUAGUGAGUUUAUUGAGUUCCUCUGGUAACUGACCUGUGAGAUUAUUAAAACUAAGAAUGCUGUACAAAGCAAAAAAGCAACUAGCUUGUCAAAAUAUUGUAAAAACACAAAUUUUUCAUCUAAAGUCACGAGUAUAGUCCGGAAGGCCUUACAGAACUUGUAGCUUAACCAUGUCUCCGAGUUCUUUUGGAACAGUUCCAUUAAACAUGUUACUUUCCAAUCUCCUGAAAGUUUUGCAGUUCAGCUCAAUAAAUCUUAAACUAAUUAAGGACUGCUAUCCUUUGUAUGUGAAGAAAAUGACAAAAGGACAUACAUAUAAACUAGUGAAGUCAUGUUUCCUAAGUACUUUGGAAUUGGUCCGGAUAGUUGAUUCAGCAUAAGAGACCUGAAAACCAUCAUAGUUUAAAUUCACGCAACCUUGUAAUGUAAUGCCUAAAGUAUUUCAGGUGCAGCGCGCUUACAUAUAUUCCAGUUUCAUAUAUGUCCAUUGAGGGGGAAUUGUACCACUCAAAUAGUUGCAUGAGAGAUCACUGUAGGUCAAACAUUGAAAAUGUAUUUUUAUCAUAUUGAUUUUUUAUCUUUAAAAAGAAAAAAUAAAGUUCCUACUGGUUUUGAACUCAUAGAUUCAAGUGAGUUAACAGUACAUUUUGGUGAGAUUUGGUAACUUCACCAGGGAUGGAGGAAGAACACCAGCAAGAUCUUGUCCUUUGAGUAAUCUGUAACAUUAUAAGAAAAACUAUCAAAAGUCAAAACUAUAAAACAGAUAUUUGGGUGUGUUCUGAGGAAAAUAUUGUCUGAAAAAUGUUCAUUAAUUUCUUUAUGUUCCGUUGGUCAAUUUUUUCAAACACAUUCGAAAACAAGUUCCUUGAAAAUGAGACUUUCAUAGUGGAAAUAGGGAAAGCAAACAAGUUUCACAAAUGACAUUCUACAUGUACUCCUCCUCAUCUUCACCCCACCUCCACACUCUAACCCCAUCCUGUCUCUCAUAAUAUUUGUCUAGAUUAUAAACAACUGCUUUUAAGAUAAUAUUUUUUACUUAGUUAUCCAACACAAGAAAAUAACUUAAAACAAAAUCUUUAUUUUCCUAGAAAACCCAACAGACCAAACACACCCUAAAUAACAAUGCAUUUUGUAUAAGUAAAAAAAAUCCUGACCAACUAUUUGAGGACUUCCUUAGUAAUUUUCCCACAGGGUGCAAAUAGUUAAAUGAAAAUUCUAUCUCAAGAAUGUAAUACUAAUACCUACUAUAGUAUUGAAAGUUGGCUCGUUGAUUCUGUGAAGCCCAAUAAAUAGAUUUAUAAUGUUUAGAUAAAUAAAAAAAGUGUUUUUAAGUAUUUAUUUUUAUAUCAAAAUAACAAAAAUAAGUCAAAUGUCUUAAGUUGAAAAUCCUAUAUGACUUUUGAUUUAUAAGUCAAAAGCCAUCCGACCAUCCCAGCAUGCUUUAAGGCAGUGUUCGUUUGGAAAUACCGUUUGGGAAUUUGAAAAAAAAAAAAAAUCAUGAAUUUUAAUAAAAAUUUUGCGUGAAACAUAUCCGAAAUUGAAAGAUACAUAAAGGAAAUAAAAAUAUAUCAUGCGACAACAGCACGAGGAGAUUCUCUUCUUACGGUCUCAACUUCUUUAAGAGUUAGAAAAAGUACUAUAUAUAUAAGCACAAAUUAACUUUAUUUAAACUUCAUUUUACUCUAUUGCCUCAUUCACAAACUUUAACUAAAAAAACAAGAGAAAUUGGAGGCAAAUCAAAUUAUAAAGAUAUAAAAAGAGGCAGAGGAAGAAGGCUUACAUGCUUUGUACAUGACAGGAACCAUUAGGGGUAUCGCAAUUGCAGGUUACAUUGCUCACAUACACUGACAAAUCAUCCGUUCCUGGUGUAGUCCAGCUCGUGCUUUCAUCACAAGGAUUCACAUCAAAAUCCCAAUCAGUUUUCCCUAACUGCUCCCCUAUUUCUCUCAGAGCAUUCUCUGCAAAAUCGUAAAAUUAGUCGGAUAUUUACGUAAUCACACUACAGUUUUACAACAAAAGAUUCAAACUCUAAUUUAUAUGCUUAUGAGAGAAAGACAUUACUUUCUUCUUCAGGUAGAAGGCGGCGAACAUUUUGUGCUUCGCAAACAAUUAGGAGUAAGCUGAAGGUGAUGAGCAAAAAUGAACAAGUGCAGUAAUAAGAGGAUGCCAUCAUCUUCUCUAACAUGCAAAAAAAAAAUGUUGAAGUGAAUAUACAUAUAUACAUAAUGAAGAUUUAUCGAAUAUAUAGAUCUAGGAAUGAAUAAGAUACAUAUAUUAUACAUAUAAUAUAAUACGAUACAAUAUUAUUAGAGAGUUUCUGAGAAUGUUUGUGUGAGACAUGUUGACAAGGACAUCAAAUAAUAGUACCGCAACCUGAAAGAAGGAAUGACACAUGCAUGUCAUAGUAAGUACUACACAAGUUUGUUUUGCUCCGUGCUGUGAUUUCCCCUGCCGUUGGAUCAUGUUAAAGAAUGACAAAAGUCCCACAUCGAUGGUUAAUGAGAUGAGUGGACUCCUUAUAAGACUUGGGCAAUCCUCCUCCCUUUGAGCUAGCUUUUGAGGUGUGAGUUAGGCCUAAGACCUAAUCUAACAGAUUCAAUCAAAGAUUAUGAAUCAAUACUUCCGUAAGCAGGGAGUAGCCUACAUAGAUGUGGCCGGGUUAAAUGGUUGGAACCUUAAUCGCGAAUUCAAAGAAUUUAAAUUUUAAAUUCACUUUUGUAAUACGUCUAAUUUUUUUUUUAAUUCUAUGAUUAUCAUUUAUAAACUCAUUUUUACUCAUUGUUUCUUUUAGUUUUCAUGUUUUUUUAAUCUAGGUUACGAAAAGGUAGAUUUUGCGAUUUAAAAAAAAAAAAGGUUUUGUGUGAUAUCAACAUAGUGCAAAAUGAUGAUGUGGCGAUGAUAUGUCAUUUUCGACAUUGUAAAAUUAACUUUCUGAUCAUUUGUAUUUUUGGAACUGCUAACACAUAUAUAGUUUAGUAUAUAACUUUAUUAUUACAAAAUUUAAUCAUGUGUCUUGAGUAUUACAAAUAGGUAGUUUAGUGACUUUAUUUUUCUACUAAAAAUGAAUUACCAACUUUAAUGUUACUGAAAGUUAAUUGAGUAAUAAACCUGUGAAAAUUAUCCUAUUUUUUAUCGCAAAGUGAAGCCAGAUAAACUGGUCAUUGAAAAUAAAUCACAUUUGGUUAUAGGGUAUUUGUGACUCUAGAAAAGUGAGUACACCAAAAUAUGUUGUGAGUUCAAUGAACUAGAAAAGUCAGACAAGAGUUGCUUCAUGUCAGAAAAACUAUUUACAAGAAUAAAAAAAAAGUUAGAAGAAAAUUUAAAUAAAAUUGACUAGUAUUAUCACACUUAAGAUAUGAACCCUAUUAGUUUAAGAUCAUAAAAUAGACAUCAAUUGACUUGAGGCUUGACUUACUAUAUUCUAGGCCCCAAUUAAUAAUAUCAUUGUAAAAUCAUUUGUCCUUGUCCUUGAAACUUAAAUAAAAAAUAAUAAUAAUAAUAAUAGUGCAAAAUAAUAAAAUAUUACUACAAAAAAUUACUCCCUUCAUUACACUCGUGUUUUCAGUUUGAGUACAUUCCUUUAAAAAAAACUAUUCACUCCUAAUAAGAAAAAUGUGUUUUUAUUGAUUUGCCAUUAAUUAAAUAUCUUAAUUUUUUAUUUAAAUUUUUAAUAAUUAUUUGAUUUGAUAGAACUCCACUUAUUUGUUUUUGCCUCACUCAUAAAAGAUAAAAUUUCAUUUUUAUUAUAUCUCAUAGGUGGUGUAUACAUGUACAUCACACGCCAAAUGACCUAUUGGAAUUGAACUUGACAUGCUAAUUUGCUGAAUAAGAUGAGUAGACUAUUGCCUCAUUCAAAUACCUUAUUUAGAGUUGACAAAAUUAGCCCUAAAAUCAUAAUACGUCCAACCCGUUUAAGCACGACUUACGAUGACUUCUAUUUGUAAAGAAUAAAUCUCAAUUUGGGUGAAUAACAUAAGAGGCAAUAGCAUCAAUAUGAUGCUUUAUAUAAGAGUAGUAAUGAUUGAUCGAAUUUCUCUUAGCUUCUUUCUAUAAAUCCCGAACUUGAUUAAUGAAUCCAAUCUAACUCGACUUGAUUUGUUUUUAUUAUUUCGACCUCCAACAUGAUUUCUCAUAAUUCCAAAUCUCUUUCCUUUUAUUCAAGUGUAGCAAUAUUUCUAUGUUGAACUCGUAUUUCUUGAUCCAUGCGUUUAACCCAUAAACUCAACUCCUCGAGGAAUUAUUAUAGAUACAUUGAUAAGAAAUUAAAAGAGCAACUUAAUACUUUUUCAAGAUAAUUAUCCAAUAUAAUAAAGGAGACAAGUGACAAAGAUAUUUGUUAUCCUUUUGCUAGCCGUCUACUUUGAAAUAUAUAAUUUUGAUAGAAACAAAUUAAUAAACAGUGUGUAUAUAGUACCUUAGCAUUGAAAAGUCUAGUGGAAUUUGGAUCCAAUGGGACAUAAUAACAUGUGUAGACAUUGGAAUAAUUUUUUUUCUUUCAAGUCGACGUACAAUAAGACCAAAAUUGAACAUGACAUAAUUAAAUGUGAUGACCUCGUUCAAUUUAAGGAAAAUUACAUAAAUACACAACUUAUUUUAUUCUAUUUUUUAUAUUUUUUUAUCAUUUGAAAAAAUUAUAAAAAUCGCUACUCUUUCAUAUUCUCGGAUACAACAUUUUACGUGAUGUAUCAGUUGGACACAUCACUUUACGUGAUGUAUCGGGACGUACGCGAUGUAUCCAAAAUCGAGACGUGAUAUAUCAAGAUGUUUUGUGAUAUAUCCAGAUUCCACCAAAUUUAAGGAAUUUUUAUAAUUUAAAAAAAAAUAGAGAUAUGAUGUAAUUAGCUCUCAACCGUUAACACCAUGUUUGAUAAAAUUUCUAAUUUAAUUUCCUUUUCUACACUUUGCUUCCAUAAAUUAUGCACUUCCACGAUAGAAUAAAUAGAAUUCCUCAAUUCUUAAUGAAAGUAUUUGAAUUCGAUCCUAGUAAUUAAAUUACGUUUUAUUGUAUCUCCCUUUUUCCAUACCUAGCGUUUUUAACAAUGUCAAUUAUAUUUCAUAUCUUCUCUUCGGGUUAUAUUUGGUACCAAAAGAAAGGCUGCUAGAGAAUAUUUUUACAUCAAACAUAAGAAACUUGCGCUUGACUUGAAAAGCAAAAUAAAAUAAUAAAUAAAUGUGAAUAUCUUAUAUACUGACAAGUCUUUAAUCGGGGAAAAUUAUUAGUAUUAUUAUUUUUUUUAUUUUUUUUUAAAAGGUCCUAGCAUUGGAAGUCUAGUGGAAUUUGGAUCCACUGGGUAUUAUAUAAUACGUGAACAUUAAUUGGAAUCAGUGGCGGAUCUAGGAUUUAGAGUCCGUGGGUGCCAAAUAGACUUAUCGAUUAACAAUUAUAAAAAAUAAAAUAAAAUGUGCCAGCUGUUUUUCCUUAAAAACACGUGCUUGGAGCCUUUUUUUUUCUUAAAAACCGUCUGCAGCAAAUUUCUCAAGAAAAUAGGUACAAAUGGGAUUCAAACCUGCAACAUCAGCCUUCUAAAGUUGCCCUCCUACCGUGACACUACAAGCCAGUUGUGUUCUCUGGGUGGCACCCUUUAUAUUUAUAUAAAUAUUAUAUAUAUAUACCUAUGUAUAUAUAGAGUUUCCGUCAAAGUUCGGAAGUGGCGUGGCACCCCCACACCCCUUCAUAGAUCCGCCCCUGAUUGGAAUAAUCUAUUGUGUUUUGAAGCGGACAAGAAAAAUAAAAUUAUUGCUAAAACAAGGUUAAAAUAGAAAACAAGAGUAAUCUUUCUUUUCAUUUUAUUUUCUUUUCCCCCCUUCCCCACUUCAUGUCUUAUCCUACUUAAAAUGCACGGAUCCAAAAAUAGCCACCUCUUUUGUAUUUAUCAUUCUUACUAGUUAUUGGAAGUGUGCGUUGCACGUUUUUCUUAAAUAAUAAUCUAUUCAUCACAUAUUUCAUGCAAUCAACAAAUUUUAAAAGUUUAGAAAUCGAUAUUGUGCAACAUAAAAAAAAAUGUAAAGAAAUAAGAAAUUCUUAACAAAUAAAUAUAGUGAAUCAUUGAAUUUAUCACAUAUAAUUAUAGUUAUAUUUUAUUCCAGGAUUAUGAUUUAUGAUGCCACCAAAGUUGAAAGAGAGAAUAAAAAAAUAACAAACAAAAAUAUAAUUGAAUGUGAUAAUACACAGGUGAAGAAGGAAUCAAAUAAAAUAAGAGACUUUGAAGUCAAUAAUUAAACCCUAUCACUCCAUUUCUUAUGAUUUAUUUGAUAGUGUCCAGUGCUUUAUUUAUAGUUUGCAAGACCAAUUAUUUUAUUCAUUCAAUUAGAGGAAAUGAAAUGAUAAAAAGUUUUCAAAUUUAAUUUGUAGAAAUGAAGAGUCUAGAAAUCAUGAUCUUUUAUUUUUCAUCUUUCUUAAUUGUCUUUCUUAUUUUAUUGUAUUUAAAGUUGAUUCAAUUUUUGACUUAGCACCUUUUCACUUUAGUAUUUAGUAUUAAAUAUUUAAUUAAUUAUAUAUUUAAUUUAGUAUAGAUUAAAAUGAUAAUUUAACUUUACACUUUAAAAAAUUUCACUUUUAAUAAUAUUAAUUUCUAGACACAUUCAUCGUAUGUGUCCGACCCGUGCAAAUAGUAUCUACAAUAUAUUUAAAAUAUAGUGAAAAUAUCACAUCUUUGUUAGCUUCAAACAUCUCUAAACACAUAGACUCGAUACAAAUAGAAAAAUUAAUAUUUCAAAAAGAUUGUGAAUUCAAAAGCACAAAGUAAAGCCAUUUAAGAAAACUAAUACUCAUAUUUACCAGCCAAUCAACAAAAUAUAAAGGAAUAACUUUAAAGCUCCGCAUUUUCUUUUUACAAUUCUCAUGAUACCUUUAAAAAAAAAGGUAGUGAAUACAAUGUCCGUGAAUUUCUUUUAUGAACACAUAAAUCGGAUUUAUGAGCUAAUACACAUGAAAAAUAAAAAAAGUUGGUUAAUUUCUAAAAGUUGACUCGUAAAUACGAAAAUAUGCCAAAAAAAUUGUGGAACUAUAUGCAAUGCUUCCCCAACUCAUUAUUUUAAAAUAGUUUUGUCACUUUGUAUAAUUUUUAAAUAAUGUGUACGCUUUAAGGCAAAUCUAUGAAGAUCUAAGGGGUAUCACAAGACGCGGCUUUAUCAAAGACAUUUGAUAAAUAUAUAUAUAUAUAUAUAUAUAUAGUGAUAAUAUUUUGUGUAAAUGGUGUGUAGCUCGGAUGGUUAAGUUUAUCACAUGCAUAUUUCUUUCUUCUUUUGCCUUCUAUUUUUUCUUUCUUUUGAUAUUAUAUAUAUAUAUAUAUAUAAUAUUAAACACUAUUAUUUCUAAUGAGAUAUUUUCAAAAUAAAAAAUUAUUGAGAAAAAGUUACAGUACUUUUUUAUUUUACUUUUUGGAAAAGAUAUAAAAGUCUACGUGAAUUGUUAUAUAUAUUAAAAGGUGACACCGCUUGCAAAAUUUUUUGCGUACGCCAUUGCUUUUAUAUAAUUAUUCAAAAAUUGUCUCAAACAAGAUUUUGUUUCACUCAAAUAUUUUGUUAAAUUAGUAUUAGUUAGUCAGUAGAUUAUAUUUUUGAAUUAAUUAUUUUAUUUCGUUAAGAUUAAAAAGCUUGUUAAUUAAUCUUAUUUAAAUUCUAGCUGAAUCUAGUAAAUUUAGUUACGUUCUUAAUUAGAAUUGGCCAUAAUUGAAACUGAUAUAUCUUAAUUUCAAAUCUAACCCCUUAUAUUAUAAAAAAAAUGAUACUAUUUUGUUACCUCACUUUAGACUCAACUUUCAGACAAAAUUUGGGCCAACUCCAGCAGACAUAAUUCAUUAAGAAAAGGUAGUAUGGAUCCAAAAGACUAUUUUCAUAUGAUGGCCCAAAACCCACGUCAUUCAUUUUAAAAUUAUUUUGAUAUAAUAGUAAUAAUCAUAUAUUUUUGUUUUCAUCCCAAAUGACCGUUAUACAUACAACUCUAUUCUCUUCUUCACUACCGUAUAUUCUCACACACACGCUCUUCUCAAGCCGAUGAAGAUGAAGAUGGGUCUGACCUUCAAAUGGUGAAUAUCCCAAUUACCCUCUCAAUUUUACUUCUUCGACGAUUAAAGAAAUCAAGUUUUUUUGUGUGUGUAUGCAGCAGACAAUGUCGAAGAUCACGCUGGCGAGAAUAAAAUUGCUGAGAAACAAGAGGGAGGUGGUUGUGAGGCAAAUGAGGAGAGACAGACAUUGGUAUGCUUCUUGAAUUCCGUCCGGAUGCCACUGCUCGUAAUCAGGUACUUUUUCCUCUGACUUAGGGUUGGGGGCUUAGUUGAUUGAUUGAUUAAUUGAACCUCGAAAUCAACUCGUAGGAAUGGGGAAUUUGGUUUAUCAGUUUAUGGAUCAUUUAGAUUGAAACAUAGAAUUUUGCUUUGGUUCAAGAUUAUAGCUUGCAAUUGUUCACUGUCACAGCAAGGGUGUUUACCACCGAGAUCGCUAAUUGGAAAAUCUGUUGUGAAGAUCUAUCUUAAUCUUUUAACUAUUGUUCCUUGUUCCCCAGCCUGAAAAUUUGUGUAUUUAACUUCUGACUUAGGGAGUGCAGUUUUUGUAGGGUAUCAAGUUAGAUGAUUUGGACAUCAGAAGACUAGCUGCAAGUAUGUAUCAUUUAGAGAGUGUUAGAGGUUAAUAAUAGUAACAGUUGAGAGAGAUUAAAAAAUAAUUUAGGAGAAGUGAUUAGACGUAAGCUUAGAUAAGAAGAUAUGAAGGCCAAGAAGUAUAUUAGAAAGUUAGUAGAUAUUCAAGCAUUGUCACAUAUAAAAGGCAAUUUUAUUCUUCAAUGUGUUUGUUACAUCAUCUGCUUUGUAUGAUGAUUUUUAUGUCAUAAUAAUUUCUUGCAACCCUGCUUUGAAGACCUGUCUAAAACAAUCCAUGUGUAGAGUAAGGUUUGUGUUUCCCAGAUCCUAUUUGUGAGAUUACAUAUGUUGUUGUUGUAACAUAAUCAAGGCAGAUGAUACAUCAGUGAAGAAACACUGGGACAAGUGACUACAUAAGGGAUGAUGUGCACAGUCAAACCUUAAUUUCUAGCAUAGCUAAGCAGAGAAUUGUGUGUAUUACAAUGCAAUAUUAGACACCAACAACUACCAAUAGUUAUUCUCAUGAUCAAUGCAAAACAUGAGAUUGUUCUUUUUCAUUUUCCCUUUGUUUUGUGAUUCUUCAACCUAAAUCAACCUAGACAUACAUCUGUAGGACAUAUUUAGAUACUAUGGUUUGGCUAGCUUUUCAGGUACCUUGCAUUUUGAUUCGAUCUUUUUCUUUUACAGAGAAUGCUGUCAGUCAAUAUUGGAAAGGAUUGGGCUGACUUGUGUCAACACAUCUAGUUCUGUCUAUCCAUCCAUUUAUGGCAUGUUCGACGAAUCUCUGAUAUUUGUUAAAUAAGGAAUUAUCCAACAAAACCAGAAAUACAGUCUAUAACAGCAAUUUUGAGCUAAUUACAACUUAUCCCUAAUGGUUUUCCCUAAUGACAAGGUUGAGAUACUUAAUCCCAAUUCAUGGGAAUUGUAGAGUCUUGUGUAGGUAUUUUAGUUUUUUUUGGAUGUGGUGAGGCUGCAUUUUUCCACGUUUGUGGCUUUAGAAACUGUAAAAGAGAAUGGAUACUAAGUUUUUUACGUGGCUUGGGCUUUCCUUUGCUGUUGUUAUGGCAAUUUUUUUUCCCUCAGAAUUUGGAGCUUGAUUUUUGGGAUCGUUUUUGGUUCUUUGUUUGUUGUUUUUGUCUUGUUCCUGCUGCUCUAAUGGUCCUACAGAAUCAAUGGAGUUGCUUUUUGUUCUUUUGGUCAUUUAUGAGCAAAUUAAAUGUACUGAUGUUGAAUGUUUGUUUUUUUCUUUUUUGGGUAAACUAUAGUUUGCCAUCCUGCAUUUUCAUUUAGUUCAGGAGUGAUCUUAUCAGGGGAUGGCUCUGUUUGGUUAGGAUUUUUGAUGUAGAAGGUAUAUUGUUUGGCUUAUUUGGGGCAUGAAUGUACUAAGUGACCAAGUCUUCCACAUACAGUGCAUAGAGGUGUGGAAGGUUCAUAUUGGACUUUUUGUAAAUGGAUACCUAUAAGAAUAUCUCUUGGAAGAGUUUUGGACAGUGGUGCUAGGAUACAGAGUCUUGCGUAUCGUCCUCUAGUGGUAUUCAUAGUCACUGAAUCUAUUUUUACUAUUGUUCCUAUUUGGUUGCCUAUUCGUUGGAGGAUGUUAAGGUCAUAAAUUUCUGUUGGGAGUUCCAGUAGUCUUAUCCAAACCGUCGAGAAAUUUAUUUGAGCCAUCGAGGGAUUGAAUUUUGGUUCCCAUUUCCUAAUGGAGAUAAAUUGCGAGCCGAGGAACAAUGGUCCUUGAUGAAGUAUCUUCUGUUCCUCUCUUCUCUCUCCUCUCUCUUUCUCCAAGCCAACGGUAACUUGCUGGCUUUAUAGUAAUCUCCGGCGACCGCUUUCCGAUCUCCUCUCAGUUCCCGGUAAGUCAAGAUCUGCUCUCUCUCUUUCUCUCUCUCCUCUAGUCUACUAGCAGCUCAGGCGAAGCUGCGAACGGCGCCGGCCAGCGAACAGCAGCGAAAACCAGUCGGCAACCGGACGUCGCCUCUGAUCUGCUAUUCCCGCCAGCAAGCGAAGGCGCCGGCCAGAAGCAGUGCGAGGACCAGCCCCGACCGGCGACCCUCUUUCUCUCUUCUCCUACGCUUCAGUGAGGACGACAACAUCAAAGAGCAGCUCCAACUGCCCUGACCAGCGAACUGCGAGCAGCAAACUCCGGCGAAGGCAAGAGCGUUUCAGAUUCUCCGGCGAACUCCUCUAUCUUCUCCGACGACCAACCCAGAAGAGAGACGGCAGUGCUACUGUUGUCGCCGGAGACCAACCAGAUCUGGCCGGAAAACUGCCAGACCUUGUCGGAAAAUUGCCCAAAGACCACCGAAGCCCUCCAUAUUCACCGAUUCAGGUUUUAUCUAUCUUUUCUCUUUUUUGCUGAAUCUGUUUUUUGAGCCCUUUCGUGCAGUUUUUAUAUUCCGGAUCAGUACUUCCUUGUUAUCUAUUAUAGCUCGGAUUUGUGCUUCAGACUAUAGUAUAGUUAUUGCUAUCGUGGCCUCUAGAGUAUACACUAUACGUGAUCCUAUAGUAUAGUUGUUGCUAUCCUGUCUUUUAGAUUAUACACCUGUUGCAGCUUUUUUUUAAGUGUAUUUCUGUGUAGAUUUUUCAUUAGUUUCAGUAUUUUCUAGUGGAUUUGGUAUCCGAUGGUGGUAUUGAGUCAUGUCUUCGGUUGAGGCCAAGGGCGGGGGAAAAUAGGGGUAAGUGGGUUACGGAUUCACAUAAUUUGAGGGUAGGAUCAUGGAACAUAGGUUCGUUGACGGGGAAGUCCAUAGAGCUAGUGAAAAUUCUCAAGAAGAGAAAGAUAAAUAUAGCUUGUGUCCAAGAGACUAGAUGGGUAGGCUCCAAGGCUCGGGAGGUCGACGGGUUUAAGUUGUGGUACUCAGGAGGCUCAAGGGAUAGAAAUGGAGUGGGUAUUUUAGUAGAUGGGAAUUUGAGGGAGCAAGUGGUGGAGGUUAGGAGGAUCAAUGAUAGGUUGAUGACGAUUAAGCUAGUCAUUGGAGGAUGUACUUUGAGUGUUAUUAGUGCUUAUGCACCUCAAGUGGGCUUGGACGAGGAGGCCAAAAAGCUCUUUUAUGAGGAUUUGGAUGAGGUAGUUAGAGGUAUACCGAACACUGAGAAAAUUGUCAUUGGUGGAGAUUUUAAUGGCCAUAUUGGGGCAACUUCUAGUGGCUUUGAUGAUGUUCAUGGAGGCUUUGGUUUUGGGGAGAGAAAUGGAGGUGGAACUUCGCUUCUAGAUUUUGCUAAAGCUUUUGAGUUGGUGAUUGCUAACUCAUGCUUUCCGAAGAAGGAGAACCACUUGGUUACCUAUCGUAGCACGGUAGCUAAGACUCAGAUAGAUUACUUACUCCUUAGGAAGGGUGAUAGAGGUCUCUUUAAGGACUGCAAGGUCAUCCCGAGUGAAAAUCUUACUACCCAGCACAAGCUUUUAGUGAUGGACCUGGAAAUUAAGAGGGUUAGGAGGAAGAAGAUUGUAUCUGAUCGACCGAGGAUUAAAUGGGGUGGCUUGACACCUGCCCUUUCUCGGGAGAUAGGUGAGAAGUUGAUUGGGAUGGGGGCUUGGAGUGGUAGCGGGGAUGCGGACACCAUGUGGAAGAAAGCAGCUAGUUGCAUUAGGGAAGUUGCUUCUGAGGUGUUGGGGGUAUCAAGGGGUAAAUUUGGGGGCCAUAAAGGAGAUUGGUGGUGGAAUGGGGAAGUCCAAGGCAAAGUGGAAGCGAAGAAGGCUGCAUACACAAAGUUGGUGGAGUGCGUAGAUGAGGAAGAGAAGCGGAUGCUUAAGAAAGUUUAUAAGACGACAAAGACAGAAGCUAAGUUAGCAGUUUCGAAGGCUAAGACGGCAGCUUUCGAACGCUUGUAUGUUGAGCUGGGGGACAAAGGUGGAGAUAAGAAAUUGUAUAGGCUCGCAAAAGCAAGAGAGAGGAAGGCUCGCGACUUGGAUCAAGUGAAGUGUAUCAAAGAUGAGGAAGGCAAGGUAUUGGUGGAAGAGACCUCCAUCAAGCAAAGAUGGCGAAGAUACUUUCACAAACUUUUAAAUGAAGACGGGGAAGGAGACAUUGUGUUGGGUGAUUUGGCGCACUCUGAAAGACUUCGAGAUUUUGGGUACUGUAGGUGCUUUAGGAUCGAGGAGGUUAUACGGGCUAUUAGUAGGAUGAGCAGGGGAAAAGCGACCGGUCCCGAUGAGAUCCCGGUGGAGUUUUGGAAGAGCACGGACAAGGCAAGCAUAGAGUGGUUAACCGGGUUGUUUAAUGUUAUUCUUAAGACAGCAAAGAUGCCUGAUGAAUGGAGAUGGAGUACAAUGGUUCCGUUGUAUAAAAACAAGGGUGAUAUCCAAAACUGUAACAACUAUAGGGGCAUCAAAUUGCUAAGCCAUACUAUGAAGAUUUGGGAGAGAGUGGUGGAGAUGAGGGUGAGAAGAGGGGUGUCCAUCUCUGAGAAUCAGUUUGGAUUCAUGCCGGGACGAUCGACUACCGAAGCCAUCCAUCUGAUGCGAAGACUGGUAGAAAAAUAUAGAGAAAGGAAGAGAGACCUUCAUAUGGUGUUUAUUGACCUUGAAAAGGCAUAUGACAAGGUGCCAAGGAAUGUCCUCUGGAGGUGCUUGGAGGCUAAAGGUGUCCCGAUGAUUUAUAUUAGGGCGAUAAAGGACAUGUACGGUGGAGCCAAGACUCGGGUUAGAACGGUUGGAGGAGACUCGGAACAUUUCCCAGUUGAGAUGGGGUUGCACCAGGGAUCAGUCCUUAGCCCUUUUCUAUUUGCUUUGGUGAUGGAUGAGUUGACGCGGUCCAUUCAGGAGAAUGUCCCAUGGUGUAUGUUAUUUGCGGAUGACAUAGUACUGAUUGAUGAGACGCGGGACAGAGUUAAUGCGAGGUUGGAGGUGUGGAGACAAACGCUGGAGUCCAAAGGGUUCAGGUUGAGUAGGACCAAAACAGAAUAUUUGGGGUGCAAAUUCAGUGAUGCAUUGGAUGAGGCAGAUGUGGAUGUGAGACUUGCCACACAGAUCAUUCCUAAGAAAGAAAGUUUUAAGUAUCUUGGGUCUGUAAUNNNNNNNNNNNNNNNNNNNNNNNNNNNNNNNNNNNNNNNNNNNNNNNNNNNNNNNNNNNNNNNNNNNNNNNNNNNNNNNNNNNNNNNNNNNNNNNNNNNNNNNNNNNNNNNNNNNNNNNNNNNNNNNNGUGGUGGACAAGCUGAGGGAAGCGAGACUGAGAUGGUUUGGACAUGUGAAGAGACGGGGCGCGGACGCCCCAGUGAGGAGGUGCGAGGGGCUGGUAGUAGAGGGUACGCGGAGGGGUAGAGGUAGGCCCAAGAAGUAUUGGGGAGAGGUGAUUAGACAGGACUUGGCCCAGCUACACAUUACCGAGGACAUGACUCUAGAUAGGAAGGAGUGGAGGUCACGUAUUAAGGUUGAAGGCUAGUAGGGUUAGCGUGUUGUCUUUCCUGGCGAGGGUAUGGGUUGUUAGCGUUUGUAGGAGUCUUAGCCGUACACUUGUAGUUCUUGUAUGUGAUCCCUAUUGCCUUAUGUUGUUUACUGCGUUUCACUUCUCGCAUUAUUUUCUUGAUGUAUUGCCCCCUUUGUUGAUUAUGCACUAUUUUUCUUAUUGGAUGUUAUGCUUUAUAUAAUUCUCUUCCUUUACUUGGCUUUGUUACACUUGAGCUGAGGGUCUUCCGGAAACAGCCUCUCUACCUCCACGAGGUAGUGGUAAGGUCUGCGUACACUUUACCCUCCCCAGACCCCACCUAGUGGGAUUUCACUGGGUAUGUUGUUGUUGUUGUUGUUAGCUUUAUGAGAUAGAAGUCUGACACUAAGGUCAAUGAGGUUUAUUUUUUCGGAGAGUUGCCAAACAGCUUGGAGGCGGUUUUGGAAGUAGAUAUAGCCGAUUUUUUUCCCAAUCAGUUUAACAAUUAGAGAGUAUUACCAGGGGGAGUAUACAUGUUUGUCGUUUGAUGAUAUAGGAAUGAAGUUUGGAUGGUUUUGGGGGUUUUCUUGCUCGUCUUGGAAGUUGAUAUUGUCUAGGCCUUGUGUAACAUAGUUUAUAUCGUUUUCAUUUAUGGAUACCUUAAGAGUUUCCAGAAAACUUACUUUACGAAUAGUUGCCGGCGUGCUUUCUUCUUCCUUCUGUUUCUUCGUGCUCCAACGUAUCUCGAGGAACUUUUGGCAUCACUACCUCAUGGCAAGCUUACUGAGUAUCCACCACAUCCCAAAAUCCAUUUCUUGAUCACUCAUUUCCUGUUUAAGUUUUUUAUAUUACAACUAUUGUUCCUCGACGAUUUAUUGAAUAAUUUAUAUGUAACCUCAAAAUCAGCUCGUAGGAAUGGAGAAUUUGGUAUAUCAUGCCUGGUGGUUACUUUCAACAACUCAUUGAUGCAAUUGCUCACUGUCACAACAAUACCAUCGAGAUCUGAAGGUUUGCAAUUGCUGAUUGGAAUAUCUGUUGUGAAGACUAUCUAUCUUACUUAAUCUUUAACUAUUGUUCCUUGUUCCCCAGCCUGAAAAUUUGCUUCUUGAUUUCUAAGGGAACUUAAAAGUUUCUGACUUUGGGCAUUUAUUCAAAUCUCUAACAGGGAGUCAGGGUCAUACCACUUGUGGGACUCCAAAUUAUGUUGCACAUGAGAGAUGUGAUGCAUAUGUAGUUUGAAUUAUUCAGUUACUUCUUAAUAGUUCUUAUGAGUGCAUUCUUCUUGUUUUGCACAUGCAACCUGUCAUUCUUCAUUUGAUUGGCCUGCUAUCCCCCCAAAACCUUUUUAUUAUUUAUACUUUAGAUUGCGAGCUAAGAGGCAAAUAUAUACUUUUACGUUUGUAGUCCUGGUUUAGUAAUUGGUUGUUAUAUUAUUUUCCCAUUCUGAUGUCCACAUUAAUAGCACCAUCUGAUUUGUUAUGUCUGCAAAGCUUGAAUCAGAAAGAGGCAGGGGGUGGUUGUCUUCAUUUUAAUUCAUUGAGCCCUUUUUGAUUAGUCAUCAGAACUGAAAACAUGAUUUUUUAAGUUUGAUUGCUCAACAUGGAUUAAAAUCCUUUCAAAUUUCCCGGAGCAUGUCUUCUGCUUGUUCCUUGAUUUUAUAAGUGUUCCUUUUCUCAUCUCCUUUUUCUUGAUUAAUUUCUGAAACUACUCACAGAUCAUCAAGACUGAUAGGAUAAAACGAGACCCGCAACUUCAUUGUUAAAGGUUUGAAUUACUUCUUUGCCCAACUCAAUUUUUGUUCUUUUCUUCUUUUUGUUAUGAAUUUGUCGUGAUCAUCAACAAUAACGGCCUCGGGCGGGACAGGGUGCCUCGAGGAACGAUACCUUAGGGUGGGGUGGGGAAAUUUUAAGGCUCUAUGCCUCUGGGCGGGGUGGGGGGUGGGGGGUGAGCCUCGAGGAACGCACGGCGCUUUCCUCGGGUCAGGCAAUCUCAAGGAGUAGGGUAUUCCUCGGGUCAAGCAUCCUCGGGUCAAGCAUCAUCGAGUCAAGCAUCCUCAGGUCAGGCGUCCUCGGGUCAGGCAUACUCGGGUCAGGCAUUCUUGGGGAGUAGGCCUCAUCGGGUCAGGUCAGGCGUUCUCGGGUCAGGCUUCCUCGGGUCAGGCGUUCUCAGGGAGUAGGGGUGAACCUCGUGGAACGCACGCCGCUUUCCUCGGGUCAGGCGUUCUCAAGGGGUAGGGGAUUCCUCGGGUCAGGCGUCCUCGGGUUAGGCAUCCUCGGGUCAGGUGUCCUCGGGUCAAGGAUUCUCGGGGAGUAGGCCUCCUCGGGUCAGGUCAGGCAUCAGGUCAGGCAUCCUCGGGUCAGCCGUUCUCGGGUCAGGCAUCCUCGGGUUAGGUGUUCUCACGGAGUAGGGGAAUCCUCAAGUCAGGCAUCAUCGGGUCAGGCGUCCUCGGGUCAGGCUUCCUCAGGCUAGGCAUCCUCGGGUCAGGCAUCCUCAGGUCAGGCGUUCUCGGGUCAGGCAUCUUCGGGUCAGGCAUCUUCGGGUCAGGCGUCCUCGGGUCAGGCAUCCUCAGGCCAGGCAUUCUCGGGUCAGGUGACCUUGGGCCAGGCAUUCUCGAGGAGUAGGCCUCCUCGGGUUAGGUCAAGCAUCCUCGGGUCAGGCGUUCUCGGGUCAAGCAUCCUCGGGUCAGGCGUUCUUGGGUCAGGCAUCCUCGGAUCAGGCAUUCUCGGGGAGUAGAUCAAGGGGUUUGAGGAACGCACGACACUUUCCUCGGAUCAGACGUUCUCAAGGAGUAAGGGAUUCCUCGGGUCAAGCAUCCUCUGGUCAGGCGUCCUCGGGGAGUAGGGGAUUCCUCGGGUCAGGCAUCCUCAGGCUAUGCAUCCUCGGGUCAGGUGUCCUCGGGCCAGGUAUCCUCAGGUCAGGCAUUCUCGAGGAGUAGGCCUCCUCGGGUCAGGCAUCCUCGGGUCAGGCGUUCUCGGGUCUGGCAUCCUCGGGUCAGGCGUCCUCGGGUCAGGCAAUCUCAGGCCAGGCAUCUUCGGGUCAGGUGUCCUCGGGCUAGGCAUCCUCAGGUCAGGCAUUCUCGGGGAGAAGGCCUCUUCGGGUCGGGCAUCAAGUCAGGCAUCCUCGGGUCAGACAUUCUUUGGGAGUAGAUCAGGGGGUUCGAGGAACGCACGGUGCGUGCCUCGGAGCGGGGGCUUCACGCACGGCGCCUUGGGGCAGGGGUCUCGAGGCACGCACGAUGCUUUCCUCGGAUCAGACAUUCUCGGGUCAGGCUUCCUCGGGUCAGGUAUCCUCGGGUCAGGCGUUCUCGGGUCAGGCAUACUCGGGUCAGGCAUCCUCAGGUCAGGCAUCCUCGGGGAGUAGGCCUCCUCGCGUCAGGAGGCCUCAAGGAACGCAUGGGGCGUUCCUCGGGGAGGAGGGGGGUCACACACGGCGCGUACCUUGUGGCGGAAGGGCCUCGAGGCACGCACGACACUUUCCUCGGGUCGGGUCAGGCGUUCUAAGGGAGUAGGGGAUUCCUCGGGUCAGGCAUCCUCGGGGAGUAGGCCUCUUCGGAUCAGGAGUUCUUCAUUCACGCAUCCUCGUGCCUCAGGCCAAGGGGCGGCAGGGCCCCCCGAGGAAAGUAGGACGCGUGCCUCGUGGGGUCGGGGAGAGGCGUUGGGCCCAGAGGUACGCAGGGCUCGUGCCUCGUGGUCAGGGGCGGUGGAGGGCUCCGAUGCACGCAGGGGGCCUGCCUCGGGGCGUAAGGGGCCCCUGCUACCCUACGACCCCGAGGGGCCUCAAGGUACAACGCGUGCUUCGGGGCCUCGAGGCACAACAGGCACACAUCGUGCCUCGAGGAGAAGGGGCCUCGUAGAACGGUGCCUCAGGGUGAGUACAACCAAACAUGCUUUGCUCGAGCUCGAGUACUAUGCAUUCUUUGAGGAAAUUCCUUUAACGGUAAUAUGCUUUCCAAUUUCCCUUUUCCUUUCUUCAACUUCCAUUCGAAAUGGUACAAAUUCAUACAUAUUCCUUGCUACUCCUUUUCACUGAUCAUCAAUGGUUUUAGAGGUUAGAAAAAAGGGAACCACGUAAAGUUUUUUGGAGCUCUUGUUUCGAUAGUUGAAACUUCAUUAUUUUGUGGCUAUUUCGAGGUGGAAGCUGUCAUGGUUAGCUGCUUGGCAAAAGGUAAUCUUCUUUCUCCUUCCUUUCUUUUCUCGAGCAUUGACUAGUUUCUAGCUUUGUUUCUUUUAGUUUAUGAUCCAUGUCUGUUGUAUUUCCUCAUGUAUUUAGUUAGUAGUUUAAUUACAUUUUCAACAGCUUAUAUUUGAUGUUUCUGUCAACCAAUAUGAAAGUUUGAGUUUAUUCUUAGUUUUUGUCGAGAUGUAUAAGCUUCCGUUGUUUAUAUGUUCAUAUAAAACCUGUGAUAAUUUGUAAAGGUUGGGCUUAAUGAAGUCAUCUCGGUUGAGUCUAUUUGCUUAAGAAUAACGUUGUCAAGCCGUCUCCCUUCAACACAUCCGUUAAUAAGAGUCUAAGUUUUUCUCUUGAAGCAUUUGGUUUUUGUAUAACUUUCCAGAUAGACUUCCUGAAAGCUUUCAAAUGCUCCCUUUUUAUGUACGAAUUUGUUUCUAAAAAAUGACUAUAUGUCAAUCAAGGAGGAUACAUACCAUCGAUUGAUAGAUAUAAGAAUGAAUUGUUGUCUGCCUGCAUAUUUGAGAUCUUAUCUAUUGGGAUUUUCUUUACUUUGUUUUGGCUUCAUUUCCAAUUUCAGUCUCUUCUCAAUGUAUUUAUGUAAGUUGGCAUCUCUGUUUUAUGUAUUUCGAGAUUGUCCAAUGAACCAAAUGAUUGGGGAUAUAUAUUCUUGAUCAGUUAAGGGCAAGAUUCAGUUUUCUUUCUUAAGUCGUUAUUGAAAUGUCCAUUUCUUUGUGCUAACAAUUUCGAGGUUUCUGUGUAUUUGAAAUAUGGGUGUCCUGUUUGAGUAGUAUGUUUGCUUCAGUUUGGUUCUCUUGUUACUCAAAGAAGUAAAAUAAAAUUUAGAUGUCUGUCUAUUAGGCGUUCGCUCCGCAGCAUGAACAGGUUGAGAUGCGACAUCGAUCACAUCGGGUGGGGCGAUUCUCCUAGAGCAGAGCUUGAAGCAAGGGUCAGAACUUUAGACGGGGCCUCUGUCGAUAGAGCUAAAGCAGUCAUUCAUUAAUCCACCCUCGACAUUAACUGCUGGAAUGUGCUAUCACUCUUCUUCAUCUCGUUUGUUCUUAUUCUUAGUUUAUGUUUGAUCAUAGCUGAAAGCUUGGGCGUUUUAUCUCGGUUUUCCCUUCCUAUUUGAUUUUUUUUUUCUAGUCUUAAUGUACAAGUUUAGUUUCAUUAUAAAAAAAAAGUAUAGUUUCAAAUUAUCAUUUUAUCAUAGAACCUCUGAUUGUUUGUGUCCUAGUUGGAGGUUUUUGAGUUUAGUUUACACAAUAUGAUAUGAAUUCGGCCUUGAGUAUCGUGUUCAGAUUAGUGUAUCGUUUCUCUUUAUCUAAUGUUUCUUGGCAAUUCAGUAGCUUUCUGAUUCUAUCUUGCUGUUUUGAGCGAGCUUUAUUUCAUUAAAAUUGUGAUAACCUACUCUUCUUUGGGAAAUAUUUUCAAUAAUCUUCUUUAGUUAGCUUCUUUCCUGCUAUGCAUGUUAUCUCUAUUUGUGUGUCAUAAAAUGUUUCCUGUGAGUUCUGCAUUAGUCAUUUCUUUUAAAUGGAGAUUGCUCAGGUUCUAUCAAGAGUUUUUAACUAAUAUGUAGACAUUCUGGAUGUUUGCCUUGUUGAUAGCAAAAUGUACUGUUAUUUAGCUAUGAUUACUUGUGUAAGAUAUCUGCUUAUUCCUUUUCUCUUACUUUGUUUCCCAUGAACACUCUCCAAAUGAGUCCUUGGACUCCCCCACCUCUUGCAUACUCCUCAAGUUCAUGCGUCAACCUCCAUCAAGUUCGAAAAGGGAAGCUAAUAUUAUUAGGUUAAAACUCAAAUCAGUGGCAGCAGUUCAGUAGCAGAGUGAACGCUGGAAAUUAAUUUGAUCAUUGAUGCAGCAGCAGCCCAAAGGGCUAAAAUGAAGAUUUUUUUUGGACUCUAAAAGUCCGAUAAUAACUCAGCAGUAGCAGCCACUGAUUGCUUUUGGACCAAAAGUCCAGAUUCUUUCAAAUUUUAUAUGAUAUGAUAUGAUGAUUCAAAAGAUAAAAGGGUUAAUGUUUCCUAUCCAGUAAAAUUUACUCAAAUUAUUUCAUUCAGUCUAAUGAUUUGUCAAGUUAUCGAAAACCACCUCUCCGGUUUACUCUCUCUAGACCCCACUUUAUGGAAUUACAUUGGCUAUGUUGUUGUUGUUCAAGGAGUUCAUGAAAUCUCACCAAAAGUCAUCUUCUCUUUCUAUUUUCUUAUAUAUAAAAAUGCACACUAUUAGUACAAUUUAUGUCUUUGAAGUUUGAUGAGAGGAAAGGGGGGAUGUUUCAUAUAUGACAACACUUUUGGAAAACUCACUUUCCAGAGACACAACUUUUAUAAACAAAAUAAAUGACAUUAAGAAAAGUAUGUCGCGGGAUGAUCAACAUUUCAUUCUUCAUAGUUUUUUCGUCUUAUAUAAUACAACAUUGAGCAUACAGGGAGACUUAUUUAGAGGUAGAUGUAGAAGGAAAGGUAGAAGAAGAGUGAUCAGUACCCUUUGUGUCAGUUGAAAAAAAGACUGAUUGGUUUUCACUAGAAGUUACUUGCAUCUCAUCAUAUUUGUCUCUUAAACCUUGAAAAUUCAAUUCAUCACCGUAGCCACUUGAAUCGAAGUUAGAUUCAUCGAUGUUCAAACGACCUUCAAGCAUGUUCACCACUGCAGACAUGUUUGGCCUUAGUACUGGAGAUGGAUUAGUACAUCGUAAAGCCACUUUAAUCAUCCUCAACGCCUCCUUCUUGUCGUAAUUGGAACCUAACCUUGGGUCUACUAGCUCCAAAAACUUGCCCUUUUUUUGUAGAACCAGGGCCUGAGAAGUACAAUAUUGAAUGGGAAAACUUGUGAAAGAUACUUUUUGAAAUACUACCAAGUCUACUUGAUCAACACAAAAUGAAG